rnacentral:lncRNA from 1 species
UUUUUUUUUCACAGCUUGUAAAUACAAUGUCAGCACUUCCACAAUGUUGAGCUCUUCAAUUUCUUAAGUAGACAAACAACCAUUGCUCAAGCUCCAGGAAAUUGAUUUGUCGAGAGUAUAAAUAAUCAUGAAAUUUAUAACGUGACACCUCAUUAAAAUGCAGGAUAGAUUUGACUGUUACUUAUGGUUUCAAUUCUGUCAUUGAUAUUUUUGAUGUCAUGCAAUAAUCUCGCUUUGAGAACACUGUAACUUACUUUGCUAUGGAUCGUAUGGUACUUCAUUUACUGAUUGGUCCAUGUCAUUAGCUUCCAGACGCCACACCAGAUCAAAUCAAGAAAGCUUAUUAUAAUUGCAUGAAGGCUUGCCAUCCAGACUUGAGUGGUGAUGCUCCAGAAACAACUAACUUUUGCAUGUUCAUCAAUGAGGUUUAUUCGGUAGGUUCCAAUUAUAGAAUGCUGAAGUAUUGAGUCAGCUUUUGAUUUAUGUUUGUAGUGUCUGAUGAAAAUAUUCUUGGAGUCUAGGUUCUCAGUGACCCGCUGCAGCGAAUGAUUUAUGAUGAAAUUCAUGGAUAUGCUUUGACUGCAAUAAAUCCUUUCUUGGAUGAUUCCGCUCCAAAGGAUCAUGUAUUUGUCGACGAGUUCAGUUGCAUAGGUGCAUUGUUUUCACUCUCGUUUUACCAUUUUAACUGUGAAGUGCCAUUUUAACUUCAGCCCAGGAGUAGCUCAACAAUCAAGCAUCCAGUUACAUUUCUGCAGUCAUGAGAUCAUCGCCCUUCAAAUUUUUGCCCUCCCCUGAGAUUAUUCCCCUCCAAAUUUUUGCCCUCCCCUUGCUACACCAUGCAAAAAUGAAAUUCCUCUUAAUUUAGGAUUGGCAUUCAGAAUAUUCAUCGUUUAAGCUUCUGAGAAAGUAUCUUCAGAAAUUGAGUUGACCUUGUUGAUUAAUCUUGUGCUGUUAUGAGAAGUUUUACAACACUGUCAUCCCAUUGACAAGAAUUUGGCUUUAAAUCAAAUUUUCACUAGUGCAGAUAGUUGCAUACCCAUAUCCAGCGAUAAUAGACGUAAACAUAAAAAUUUGAGACUAGUUUCUGACCUCUCUGAAGUCAGGGAACUAUUUGAUACUGCUUUGAUGUUGUCAUAGGAACAUUUUCUGGCAAUUCAAUCAGAGAAACUCCUUUAGGUGUAAUUGAAGGGUUAAUGUCAUAUUGGAUAUUGUGCUAGUCCCCAACAUAUAGGAAAGGUUAUGGGUUGUUAGUUGUUACUUCUACAUUCUGUGAUUUGCCACUAACAACAUCUUCUCUUCCUCUCCCUUAACAGGCUGUAAAAAUUGUACAAAUGUUUGCAAAGCUGUAUUCACCAUUGAGGAAGACUUUGGUAGAGCCAGAGCGUAUACUCAGUCUGGAAACCCUGAUUUAAUUCAGCAAGCUAUUGAUAGUUGGUAUGAUUUUGCCAUAAUGAUUUUGCUGUGCUAUAAAUAUCACUGGAACACAGGAACAUGAGCAUAUGUAAAGAAAUAGAAUUAAACAUGGUAAUUUAUAUUGGUUGGGUUCCCGGAGGCUUGUGAUUUUCCUUUUCUUGGGAUUUUCAAAAUCCUUUAUACCUUGAAACUAGCCUUCUUCAAGUAUUUCCUAUGAAUAACCUGCCUUAAACUAGUUUUACAGUAAAAGCACAGGAUCAGAAGACUUCCAAGUCACUUAUUUAUCCUAAUAAGAAUGCAAUUUUACUUUAUGAGUAAAAUGCAACUGCAAAUACUUGAAAAAGUUAACUUUGACCUAACAAUCUUGCAUAAUGAAUAAUAAAACUCAACAAUCACCAGAACCUGAAACAACUAAGAGUUAAAAGAUGGAUUAAUGAAACUUUGAUAGGGAAUCAAGAGAAAAGUAUGUGAUAAGUGUGUUGUGCAGCCAUGACAAUGGUAAGUUGACUCAGUAAUUCCGAAAAGUUGAAGGUAUUAAACUUGAGAUAUCUACUUAUGGAUAACACGAUAACCUCAACUUGAUUUAGUCUGAUUUGAAAUCAGGAUAUGGUUGAAAGGUUUUCAAUUGAAUAUCAUAGAAUAUCAUAUAAGAGGUUACCGAAUGAUAUCAACUGGACCUUAGGCUGGCUAGGAAUUGGAUACUCCCCAAGAAUCUAUUUCACUUUUAAGUGGUUCACUAUUAUAUUUGGUUUCUGAUAAAGCUCAAAUUAGAAUACAGUCCUUUAAGUGUCUCCUACUUGUCUUGUUUAGGUUUUGGUUGUCAAAAUGAAUCUGUUUUAUGCAUCUAAUAUAACAAAUGCUGCUUCAUUUCAGCCCUGUUGACUGCAUUCACUGGACUUCCGCUCAGCAGCUGUCUUUGCUUGAAGAUGAAAUGCGAAGGGUAGACAGAGUAAAUGUGAGCUAUAUUCUCCUUGGACUCUUUCUGUAUUUCUGUCCUAACUUUAGGACUAGAUUUUGCAGUAUAUGGCUUCAAAAUAUUCUCUAGCUCAUUAUUGUGGUUGAAUACUUGCUAAACAAGGAGACAGACAUGGUUUAAAAACUUCUUUUAUUAGCUUUGAAUGGAAAAGAUCUGUUCAUUAUUAGCCUGCUCAAUUAUCAAGCUAUUUCAAGCCUUGUGGAGCAGCAGUAAUUAUUACUAUUGGAUGCAUUCUUGGGAGAAGGCUGGAGGAGAAACCGAUAAGAUUUUUGAUGCAUAGAUGCAUCUCUCAAUGGCCUGAGAGGAGUUCUUUAGAAUCAAACUUGUUGAUACCUAUUUCUUUUCAUGCUUUUUAAGGAGUUCUAGUUUAGUGAUAAAUUAUGCAUCUACAUUGUCGUUGUUGAGAAAAAUUAGUUCAUCUCUCUAUCAUUCAGAACUAGUAUUGUGACAAAAGUGCCUAAUUUUGGGCAUUUCAAUAUGAGAGAUGCUUUGGUUUAGUCUUCAUCUUCAGGUGACCUGACCACCAAAAAGUGUCUUACUUUUUCCCUUUUCUUAUUGAUCAUUAGGUAGCAUUCAUGCUUUCAGGAAUGGGCUCUGCAGGUGUAGAUGUUUUCAGAAUGGUAAGACAUUUUCUAAUCUACCAUACAUUGAGUUAUCUCCAAAAUGCUCAGACUGCCUGUGAGAAUCACUUAGUUGGAUUAUUUGACAAAGAUGAGCGGAGGUAAGGAGAAGUAAUAGUGAUCCUGUUAUAAAGACUAAAAUAGAAUUCAUCAGGAAAAAAUUGGGAUUCAAGAAAUGUGACUGCUGACAGCCUAAAGAUUCGGUUGCAGUUUUCUCUAUAAAGAAAAUUGUCUUGAAGUUCAAAGCUGAUAGAAACUAGAGUAAAUGGCACAUUUAGAUGAUUGAACCUCAAAUCUAAGUCGUGUUUUACAUAUAGAUAUAGUUUUCCAUUAUCACUAGAUAAAUAUUGACAUGAAAUCUAAGGUUCUCCAUGGCACAAAUGUACGCAUUUGUCAAGUAUCCAAAGAACUUUCAGAAUUUUAUCUGAUUUUUGAACAUUUUUCUGACUGCUGUUGGUCAUUUGCAUCUAAUUGAUUUCACUCAAUUGACAGGCAAGUUCUACAUGGGAAAAGAGACAAACCAAGAUCUUGGUAAAUACUUACGUAGAAGUAGGGAUAAAAUUAUCUUUCAAAUUUAGUUAAUUUCCAAUUUUCCGCUUCUAUCUUACAAUGCAACCUCAUUAAUUUGUUGUAGGAAGAAGUAAAAAGGAGGAUGAUGAAACAGAAAGAAUCUGAUAAAUAUGAAGCAUUUUGGAACAAUCUCUGGGGCAAACCAAAGGGCUACAGAAAUUCAGGUAAGGAGGAUCAAGUUGUUCAAAACACAUUGGGUUUACCCAUUUUGGCAAGAUUUCAAUUUGGUAGCCUUCUUUCUUUGAAUCAGCUGUAGCCAAUUAGGAUCAUCGAAUCAGAUUGUCUUCUCUCAGACUGCUCCAAUGUUUAUCACUAAACGAUCCACUUUUGAAGUGGAGCUUGAUUUAAUUAUUUAUAAGCUUAUCAAAGCAGCAAACUCGUACCUCUUGAACAUGUAUAAAAUUUGGAAAGGUAAAUUGGACAUGUUCUUUCUGUAGCCUAUAGAUGUUUCAGUGUCUGCAUCCUACAUAAACAUUGUACAACCUUCCAGGAAAAAAGAAAUCACUACCUGAAUAUUCAGUUGAAGUUUAUGCUAAGACUAAUAAGAUGACUAGAAUUUGUAUGAUGCCACAGAGGAAGAAGUUAAAGAGAGAGCAAGUAGAGCUGCGGCGGCUGCUCGAAGAUGGAGGGAAUACUCAAGAAGGGGUGUUGAUAAACCACCCACCAUUAAACUUCCAGAAACAAUCUCUAACACUGAAAAUUAAGCUGUAAUUUUGAUAGCUUUCACUUUCACGAUUCUAUGUAAUUAUUGAUUCUAAAUUCCAUCUGUUGGACGCAUAUGCAACUCAUAGUAGAUACCGUGCAUAUAGUAAACUUGAUAUUGGCUCGUUCAACUGUCUUAUAGAUAAUCAAUAAAGCAUUAUUCUUGCACAUUUUGUGCGCUACAUGUCGUCGCUGUCUGCUCAUGAUCAUCCAACAAAAUAUGUGGGUUUUCCUUUGAAAUUCAUGUUUUCUGCAGUGAAAGUACAAAAAAUUACCAGAAGAGAUCUAUUUGCUUCAUAAGUUUCAUCUGAAUGCUUCCAAAACUUGUGGAGGCAACUCCUAUUCUCAUGUACUACUUUAACAGACUCACAUCAACUUGGGUGUGGAGUAAUUCUUUCUUUUGUGUUUGUUAUGGGAAGAUGGUACUUGACUUGUUCAUGAUUUCAGAGACUCUUUUAUUAUUGCAUGUGUGAAGGGGCACCGUCUCUGAAGGAAUGGGUUACUACUGUCCAAUGAGUGGGCCUCGACUGGUUAACUGAUUCUUUUCAAGUUAGUUUAUUUCAACAUGGCAACAUUGGUUAGAAGCUGCGGAAUAUACUACAAGAAUAUUGUCUAUAAGGAAGGCAAAAGGAUUCAAGCCCUUUGUUUUUCUGGUUUUUCCAGUCCUGCCUCGAUAUAGUAUAUUGUCUCCUGUAAAAGCCUUUGAGGCUAGUAUGGACUUAUCAUCAGUUUUUGAAGACCUUCAAGAACGGGAUAAUAUGAGUGUCAUAUCUUCUAUGGGUUAUGUGUGCUUAAAAACAAAGCGAAUGAAUUAGGUCUCACAACAAGGCAGUUCCCAGCUGGAACUGGCUUAAUCUCUGGUAAUUUAAUAUCUACCUGUCGUAAUCACGAACACCUACCUCGUUGUAAAUAUAGAGCUUUUUGUAUGGCGUUGCUUUUGCAUUUUAUCUCAUUUUUGGUGACGUUUUCUUCUGCUCAGCUUCAAAAACGUCAUACUAGUAAUGUGGACAUCCAUCAAUGAUUACUUCUCUUGUUUUUAAGAUGAAACUGAUCAAGGACUCAUUGUCCAGUGUAGCAGAGUGUAAAAAUGUACAGUCAAAAGAAGAAAAUUUCUUGCAGGUUUCCUCUGGUGCCUGUUUAUUUUGUUUCUUGUUUAGCAUUUGGCUAGGCAUCCCACUUCGAAAACUUGUCAAAUUAUAGUAGACUCUUAUAUUGGUUGCAGCACUAGACAAUCAUUGUUAAGCUCACUGUUAAUUCUGCACAGUGCAUGCUGAGAUGUGCUAUGUAGUGGACAAAGAUGUGUAAAGGAUUCAUUUCAGCACUUUAUUAUGACGCAAGAACAUUGUCUUUUUGCUAUUUUCUAAGGCCGUCUUUGAGGAAGUCAGAGUAGGAUUGGCAUCAAGGGCUUACUUUUUUAUCAUCUCCUUAUUUACAAUUACAGUUUCUCCAGGUUGGCGCAUGGAAGCUGAAGUGAAACUAGAAACAGGAAAAAAACCAAUGGACAAGAGCAAAUGUAAGUGGAAAAAGAUCCAAAGAAACAUGUCUUAUCUAACAGUUGAUGCAACAGUCUGUGCCCAAGCUUUAAGUUGGUCUUUCAUGUUGAUUUCAUUGUCCACAUCAGGAAAUCUCCAGCGUACUGGUAGUUUAUUUACCUUCCUCUGAUUCAGAACACCCCAUGCUUCAGAAAGAUAAGGCCUUGACACUGCAUACUUGUCGUGGACUAGUUCAUUGCUGCCUUGCUUUCCCCAUCUCUGCAAUCCCGGUAUGAUUGAAGCCAAACUUGAGCUCUUAUCUUCCUCUGUGAACACAAAUCCCAAGUCCAUGAACCCUUUAAGCUCCUCAUACUCCAAUUCUGAUAAGCUUCUGCUAAUACCUCUACUCCUCCUCCUCCUGUUACUGAAUUUUUUCGUGGUUGUGGUUUCAAUCUUUUCUUGCUCUUCAAUCCUUUCAGAGAAAUCACUCACUUCUACUCCAGAGAGUAUCUUUGGCAGUGUUGGUGUGGAAAUCGCUGACUUGGGAGAUGCAGCAUUUGGGCUGAAACCUGUAUCAUAGCUGACACAGUGAUCACUUAGAGAACGAACUUGAAGGUUUACUAUGCUCGCAAGCUUUGAUUUUUCAAGCUCAUGUUCUUCUUGAUCAUGAAUAGGCUUGCUAGUUGAAGAUGCUAAGCAAUGCUUGCUAGUAAAUAUUCCAUGUUCAAACCAAUAAGAAUCAAAGAGCUUCAGAAUUUCUUCAGCGGCCAUAGUGAUCUCUUCUGUGGAUAAAAUGCCAAAAACACUGGGAGACAGAGGAAACUUCUUAGUAUUUCUUCCCAAGCUUUGAAGUAUAUAGCUACAAUAGCAGCAUAUUGCUCAAUUAUUUGUGGACUAUUAUUAGAAUCUCAUGAGUGGUUAAUAAUAAAGUAAGCCCUCGUUUGUCUCAUCUAACAUAUAAUAUAAUAGCAAAGGUAUGCUCCUGACUUCUUCCAAUUAUUGCAGUGUUAGUUGGGAUGUGAAGUCAUUGGAAUGUGCUAGAAUUAAUGCUAAUUAAACCUAGCUUAUCGUUUGACUGUGAUUAGUUUGAUAAGAUUUGUACUGAGAUCAAAUUUUCAAUAAGCUUGAGGCUGAAAUGGAUUGCCCUUUUUGUCCACUAAGAAAUGUAGUUUAGCUCCAAUUGUUUCAUAAGCAUUUCUCCUUAUCUACCUUAAACAAGUUCUGCACCAGAUCAAAUUCCCUCGUGGGGAAGGGAUGACUUUUAAAUUUGAUCCAAACACCACCCCCCCCCCCCUCCAAAAAAAAAAGAAAGGAAUUAUAUGUCCUUAUCACAUUUUGAUCAUUAUCUCAUGAUGCGAUCCACUUUCUUGUACUAGGUGUGGCAACGAGUUAAUCAAGCCUGAAGCCUCGAACUUGAACUUGAAGAUAUUUAUUUGAACUGGAACUCAGUCUUGCUCGUUAUCAAUUCGAUUAAAUUGUUUGAUCUUGCUCGAGAAAGCAAAAUAAGCUCAAAUCGAGCUCAAACUCAACUUAAGCUUGAGCUUUCUAGUAUUGCCAUUGCUAUUAAAAAAAAAAAUAAAAGUAUACUAAACCAAAACAUUACAUUUUUCGCCAGUCCAGUACUAGAUCAUAAUCAAACUACUCAAUUCUUUGGAUGGUGGGGAGGCAUUAUUUUCUUCUUUUGUUUGAAAAUUUUAGUGGUGUCAAUUAGUGCCCAAAUCCUGCAAAACUUUAUAAUUAUUGUAGUGCAUGAACUUGACCAAGAAGAUUUAGUGGUAGUAGGUGACAAAACUCAAAAUCAAACAAUAAAUGCAUACUAGUCGACUAAUGCAAUUCAUGUGGUCUAUGUAUUGCCAAGAAUAAGAAGUCUAGGCACUAACAAGUCUUUUGCCUUGGGGGCCCGGGGAACGGAGAGGGAAGGUGGAGGUGGAGGUGGAGGUGGUGGCAUUGGAGUCUCUCUUGAAUCAAAACAAAUUUGGAUAGUAAAUUAUUUACGUAAAUUUAUCUGCUCGCAUCAAUAACAUAUAUUUUAAUCACAUUUUUAUUUUAUAUAUGUAUCACAUCAAGGCGUUAUGGUAUUUCUUUUUCAAAAAAUUAUUUCAAAUAAUCUCUUAUCCUAACACACCUACGUUAUAUGUUAAUUAGCUUUUUAAGAGCAAUAGUUAAUGUUACUUUAACUACUAGAACACUCAAAAUACUUCAAAAAAAUAAAUAAAUAAAUGAAGGACUUGUUUGUAUACACUUGAAAAUAAUAUCAAUCAAAGGAGUCUAUGACUGUUUGGUAGUUUGUCACCAUUAUUCCCCAUUGGAGGCCAGGCUAGGCUCCCAUAAUUUGUAUUAUCAGAUUUGUUCAUACCAAAAGUUGAAUAAUGAACAAUUUUCCAAUUAAACUUGUCCCCCCCACCGCCGCGGCAACGCGGAAUCUCCCAUUCUGUCUCGUAAAUUAUGCAUGAGAAAACAUUUUGCCAGCUCCUUAACUUUGCCAUCCAAUACAACCUUGGCUGGCUCUUUCCUCUCCCCUAUGAUGUUUCCUAAAUCAUGACUGUCAAUCAUGAAAGAAUGCCCAAAAAGAGCAGAGCAUCCUAUAUAAAGUCUUCAUCCUCUCACGUUAGCCACCACCAAAAAGAAAUUAAACCCUUUAAUUCCUUUCACAGUUCCCAUUGUUCAGUGUUUUUCUCCAUCAUCAAUGAAAAUGAAGUCCAUCACUUGCAGUAAUUGGCUGAAGCUUUCAGUGUUCAUGACACUGCUCUUAGCUACCUCCGCUGGUAAUUUUUACCAAGAUGCUGUCACAACUUUUGGCGAUCAACGAGUUAAGAUAGCCGAGGGUGGUCGACUUCUCUCAUUGUCCCUAGAUAAAUCAUCAGGUUCAGGGUUUCAAUCCAAGAAUGAAUAUUUGUUUGGAAGAUUUGACAUGCAACUCAAGCUUGUCCCUGGAAACUCUGCUGGCACUGUCACCACAUUCUAUGUAAGUUCAUGAUCAUCAGCGCUUCUUCUUCUUCUUCUUUUUUUUUUUCCCCCGAAGAAAAAUAAAAGUUUCUCUUUCCAAUGUGUUAAUUAGAUUUGUGGUGUUUAAUUAAGUGGCUAAUGGCAAUCAUAUUCUUCUGUAGCUGUCAUCUGUAGGACAGGGACAUGAUGAGAUUGAUUUUGAGUUCUUGGGUAAUGCUAGUGGGCAACCAUACACUCUCCACACCAAUGUUUACUCACAAGGAAAAGGGGAUAAAGAACAGCAAUUUAAGCUUUGGUUUGAUCCCACAACUUUCUUUCAUACCUAUACAAUGGUGUGGAACUCUCAACGUAUAAUGUAAGUCCCUAUACCAUGCCCAUAAAAAAAAUAAUAUUUAUAGAUGCAUGGUGCACAUUAAUUAUCUUUUGAUCCCAUCUGCCUGAUGAUCCAUUCUUAGUCCUUUCAAUUAACAUGCUAGUCAAAACAUAAAAAAUAAUAACUUCAAUAUUUUAUACUAACUUCUUUUUUUUACACUAACUUCAAGUCUUACACAUCGAACACGCAUUCUUGACCGUUAUUGUAUUCCUCUCAGCAUGAGAAAGAUUAAUCUAUAAAAGUUACUAAAUAUUAUUAGUUCAAGUUCCAUUAAAUUUUGAUUUCCAUCCAUUUUCACCAAAUGUUGAUAUAUAUAUAUAUUUUUUAUUUACUUUCAGUUUCUUGGUUGAUAACAUUCCUAUAAGAGUAUACAACAACCACGAAGCCAUUGGAGUUCCAUUCCCCAAGAACCAACCAAUGAGGGUGUAUUGCAGUUUCUGGAAUGCAGAUGACUGGGCAACACAAGGUGGCCAAGUGAAGACAGAUUGGGCAAAUGCACCAUUCACAGUUUACUACAGAAACUUCAACGUCAAGGGAGACGUUUGUGUUCCUGGAUCUCCUUGUGGUUCUGGCUCUAAAUCCACAGAUUCUCUGAACACUCAAGAAUGGGAAACUCAAGGACUUGAUGGCAAAGGACGAAAUAGAAUCCGAUGGGUUCAACAGAAGCACAUGAUCUACAACUACUGUGCUGAUCGUAAGAGGUAUCCUCAAGGCCUUCCUGUUGAAUGCAAGCGUCCGAGGUUCUGAGGAGAUCAUGGAAAAGGCUGCUGUGAGUUGAUGAAAUUAAUUCUUUGUUCUUUUUUGAACAUCAAAAAUAAAAUGGUGUGUUGUUUGGUUUACCUUUUGCUCAUCACAUAUUGUUGUUGAAAAUUUUUUUUUUUUUCAUCUUUUUCAUAAUUCAGUAAUAGGCUAAGUAAAGUUUAAUUGAUAUCCUGUAUGCUGUCGAGCGGAAUUCUUAAAAGGAAUCCCAUGAUGAAUAAAAUAUCUUUAUGCUUUAUCUCUCUCUCUCUCUCUCUCUCUCUAUAUAUAUGUAUAUAUAUAUCGGUUACAAUGAUUUUUCUUUUCCCUAAAGAAAAAAAGGAAACUUCCGGCAUAUAUCAUUGCCCUUUUAGGCAAUGCCAGUCAAGACUAUGACUUGGAAGUUUGCUAAUAAGGCCGAGUAGAUAUGGGGUCAGGAAAUUUCUUGCUCCAAUUAAUUAAAUAAUGGGUUAAUUACAUUUACCUCCCCUGAGGUUUGACUAUAUUACCAAUAAAUUCCUGUAAUUUGUCUAAAUAAUGGUCUCACCCUUUGAAUGAUCAAACAUUUAACAAAAACCCCCUUAAUGCCGAAAAUGCCCUUAUUGAGGCCAUGUUGCAUUAAAAAAAGAAAAAGUAGGCGUCAACUCGCUAUUUUGAUAUUCUGAAGAAGAAGUAGGCAUGGGCAGAGAUUUGUUCCUUUUGUAUUAAAAAAUGCCACUGCAUUGUGGUAUAAAAUGAGACAUAAUAGUCAACUCAACUGGAGAAAUGAUUCCCCCUCUUAUUAUUAUUAUUUUUAUUUUUUUUCCUCACUUCAAACAGGAUAUGCUUCUUGUUAAUAAAUGUGAACGGAUCAAAAGUUGUCGGAAGCAAUUUUUAUUUUUUCCAUUUGUCCUUUUCGACAACUUAUGAGUUUCCUUAACAAGGACUAGUAGGAUUCAAUAUCCAUCCAAGCAAGUAGAGUCGAAUUUAAGGACUUGCCCGUGUAAAAGCAAUAAGGAUUUUUUUUUCUAGAUUUCAGGCUACUCGCUCGCUCGCUGGCUCUUGCUUGUUUCCCAUUUUAAGUAUCAAUUCUCUCAUUCUUCUCUUUUAGGAGCUUAUUGUUUUAAGGAUUGAUCUUCUGUACACUCUGACAGCGUAUACAUUUUUACCAUUAGAUAUAUGACACGUAAUUUGAAUUUGAAUUUGAAAGUCAAAUUUUGUGUAUGUGUCAUAUAUCCAACCAUGAUAAUGUAUACACCGUCAUCAGUAUAUAUAAGAUUUACUCUUUUUUUAAUGGUAAUUUUCAUUUCUAAAUUAGAGAAAGGUAAUAAGCGCUGAUGAGAUUUAUUAUGACCCCAUAUUUGUAAACUACGGGGCCGUGAGUUUUUUUUUUUUUUUUUGAUAAUGUAUUUUCCUUUUUCAUUUUUGUUUUGUGAAUAAAUUUUGACAAAUUUUAUUGCUUCGUAUUGCAUAUUGAUCUAGAAAUAGAGACAUGGAUACUCUCACAUAUUUUUCUUUUCUUCUUUAUAUUGUAAUGCAUUUUUAACUUUUGAUUUUAACAUGAUCAAAAGAGGAAUAUGCAACUUGAUAAGGAUGAAGAAAAUUCCUCUUUGAACUAUCUCUUGGUUGAACUACUAUUACGGUAAUAUUCUCUUUCUUUUUUUGCCAAAGAAAAGUCAUUAUCACACAAGAAAAUUAAAAUACUCAGAUGUCCAACAAAUUUUAGUUAGUUACAACAAAAAAUUGUGCCAUAUGGAAGCUUUACCAACCGCAAAACCUACAGGAGCUGCAAGUCUUAAUCAAUUCCCAAGUGCCAUAAUACGACGAAGGAGAUCAACAAGUGAUGAUAUGAUGGAGAUGCUUUUCUUUAUCGUCUUCUUUUUUUUUUUUUUUCUUUUUGAAUUCUGCCCACGAUUUUGAUGGGAUUUUAUUCUUUUAGCAUAUUCUUCCUUUAAGCAGUUUUGAAAUGAUACUCAUUGAUCGUUGCGACUAAUUGUCUAGCUAAUACGAGCUUAUUGUUAAAGAGCAAACACAAAUUGCAGGAAUAGUUGCGACUUAUGAAUUUAGGUGGAUGGUAAUAUAAGUGUUUUGGAACCUUAAAUUGUAAUCAUUUCAAUCAUUUGAAAAAUCAAAUAAUUAUUGUCUCUAAGCGAUAAAAAUUGAGAGAAUGAAUUCCUAAAGAACCGUAGAAUCUUUUUGAAUUUAUGAUUAUUGUUAUUUAUGCUUGUAUCAUAUUCUGAUCACAAGUGGAAAUUUUUAAGUAAUAAGAGUUAAAUUUUUCUUGUUAGUCAUGAUGAUGUUUGUUUGAAAUACAUAUGAGGGAUAUAAAUCGAAGGAACGGUUCUUUAAAAAAGGGCUUUUUUUUUUUUUAUGGAUAUUCAUAGCGAUCUAGAUUUCUAUUCUACAAUAAUAAAAAAAGUUCUAAAUUUUCUCGUGAUGAAACAAUGGGAUAGUGUUUGUUUGCACGGAAAAGUGUGGGAAAGUGAAGAAAAGUUUGUUAUUUUUCCCUUCAUGCAUGUUUAGUUGGCAGAAAUAUUAAAAUUUUUUCUUGCAUUUUCAUGCAUAUUGUGUCCUGCAAAGGAUUUUGAAGGAAAAUAAUUAAUUACACACAAAAGUUCUCAUAACUGCUAUUAACUAGCUUGUCAUUAACUUCUUGUAUUUUUACAAUGUUUUUCUUAAUUAGUAACCAAAUGUGUAUGAAAAACUUAUUUUCAUUUUCCUCCUUCACUUCACUUUUCCAUACAAUUUUCCUUAUAUUCAAACAGAGCCUAGGGGUUGGAUAGGAGAUUAUUUGAAAUAAUCAGUGUAGCUCUUUUUGUGAUGUGAUGCAUGUGAGAUAAAAAGGUAGCUGGAAAUUGUGCCUAUGAUGGAGUAAGUAAAACAAAAUCUGAAUUUUUUUUUUUUUUUGAAAUUCUUGAUAUCCAAACACACCUUAUCUUCAAUUAGGUUUCAUGCAAUAUAACUGGCCUAUAGAUAGCUGACUUAGAUCUGGAAUUUGAAAUAUUGUGCAUGAUUUUUUUCAGAUUUUUGGAAUCUGCAAACUGUUCUAAUAUUCCAUAUGCAACAACUGGCCUUACUUUCUUUUUGGAAUGACAGAUGCGCCAGCAAAGCAAUUCAUUUGGAUCUGCACUGCUGGAUACCCUUUCCAACUCAAAUUCCCAACGGCACAGUUGAGCACUAUCCUUUACCGCUCCAUUAUCCCUUGUGUCUUUCUCUAUGUUUUUCAUCUUUCAAACCGUUUUGAUGAUCGCACCCAAAAUUAACCAAAAAAAUAAAAAUAAAAAUAAAAAUACAAUGCAAAAAAAAGAUAGUAGUGAUGACCUUACAUCACAAAUGUAGCAUUUUUUUAUUGUUGUGCCAUAUGAAAAUUACAAAUUGAAAUACAGUAUUUAUCUUAUUUGUUUUGUAGUAUUCACAACAGGCUAUCUGCAGUUUGAUUAUAGGGAUUGAACUUUGUUCUUAGGGAACACUAAAAAUUAUGAAACUAUGAAGUGUAACAUGAAACGAUUCUAUCUUGCAAGCGGACAAAAGGGGAAAAUAUAUAUAUAUAUAUAUAUAUAUACAAUACAAAAAGUGGUCAUCUAACAGUAGAUGCAACAGUAUGAGCCCAGAACCUGAGUUGAUCUUUGAUUUCCAUUUCAUUUCCCAAACCUGGAUUAAUUUUCCAAUUCAUCAAUUUCUUCUUUACCUUUCUCUCAGCCUUCUUUUCGUCUAAAACGUCCCAUGCUUCAGAUAGAUAUGGCCUUGAAACAACAGGUUUUUCAUCAGCAAAAUCCUUCUUUUCUUCUUCUUCGUCAACAUUCCUUCCCAAUCUUUGCAAUCCAGGGAUGAUGGAAACCAAGCUUGAAUCUUUAUCUUCAUCAGAAAACACAAAUCCCAGAUCCAUAAACCCUUUUAACUCCUCAAACUCAAGCUCAGACAAACUCUUGCUAUUGUUUCUUCUCCUCUCUCUCCUCCUCCUCCUCUUUUUCCCUGCAUCAAAACCAGCUUUAUUUUCUUCUACUUCUGAAAACUCUCCGACUUCCUUCCCAGACAGAAUCGUUUGUGGCUUAGGCAAAAGGAGAACAGACUUUGGAGAAGGAGACCCAUGAUCAGGAGAAGCAGUCGAUGGGCUAUCUUUGGAGCUCAAAUUUUGCUCACUAAAAGACCUAACAACAAAUGAAGGAGUGGAAGAAAGCUUUAAUUUUGGUUCAACCUCUUCAUCAAUAUCAAGAACUGGAUUUGAGGUUGAGGGUUGUUUUUUCCUAAGGAUGCAAUGCUCAAACCAGUAAAUAUCGAAGAUUCUUAGCUCUUCUUCAGCUGGCAUUUUCUCUUCGAUCUGUCGGCAAUGAAGAAGGGGGUUUUGGCAAAAUUCAAGAACUUUUUUAUUUAUGGUGGACAUUGUCAUACGCUAGAAAUGUAUUUAUAUCCCCCCACUGGCCCGUUCCCAUAGGCCAUUUCACACACUCACACACACACACACAGUGGUUGAGUUGUUAACUUUAAAUUAUUGAUGGGCUUACGUGGAUGUCUAUUAAAGUAAUUCACGUUUUUGUCGUUCGAGAUUUAUUUCUUAACAAUAAUUUGUAUUUUGCAGUAUUAGCAUUUAAUUAAGCAAGAAAAUUUGUUUGUGCGUACGAGGCUUUGACUUGUGUUUGUCUGUGUUCUCAUCGUUCAAGGUUUAGUUUAAGAAUAAAUCUUACACGCACCAAAUAUUAAUCACUAAGAAAAAGACCAAGUCGUACGCUGCAUGCCUUUGACUUUUAACUUUUCGAUUGUUUUCAUCAUUCUCUAUAAUUAUGUCUUUUUUUAAUUAAGGGGAAAAAUUAUUGUAAAGAAAAAAAAAAGGAAUUCUAAGAAUUAUCGAGAUUGGUUGUCUUUUUUAAUUUUAAUUUUUAUGUUUUUGCCAAAAAGGAAUCACAAAGGAAGGAAAUUUGAGUGUAAACAAAAGCUAGAAAUGAAUAUAUAUAGCUUAAUUAUAAGAGCAGAACAGAUUGCAUUCUUAUUUUUCCAUUACAAAUAUUUGUACUAUAUUCAUUUUUGAUGGAAUAAUCAACUCAAUUCUUCGGAUUCCCAUAAUGUGAAAGGGGUCCAAAAUGUCUGGUCCAUUUUGAUGCGUAAAGUUGAAGAAUCAAUUGUGCCACUUUGUUUAAGGUCCACGCAAGAGGUGAGACUUUUCCUUUCUAACCUACAAUGCCCCCACAUCCAACCCAAAAAAAAAAGAAGAGAGGAUCAAGAUAAUAGACAAAUCAAAUCAUGAUCAUGCAUGUUUGACAACAAAAAAAAAAAAAAAUCACGAUCAUGCACUCCUCCAAUUAAUAAAGAAGAAGAAAACAAUAAUAACAACAGCAAAUGAUGGCCUACUUGAAGUUGAAAUAUCAAUUAAGGGCCAUAGGCAUGUGACAAACAAACAUUAUUGUUGUUAUAUCAUCUUAAUCAUGUCCCAAAUAUAUAAAAGACAAAGCAAAACUAUGCCCCUUCACAUUUAUUUUAUGGGUGUUGUUGUGACAUUCCUUUCCAACCACUAGAAUUAGUCAUAAUUACAACAUAGGUUUAAGAAGCUUUGUAUGAUUUGCUGUUGGAGUUGAACGUAAUUAACUCUCAAUUUAAUUUCUGUGUCAAAAAUGAUAAAAUUGAUUUGAGCAAAUCUGGUCGCAUUUCAGUUUCAUUGGUCAACUCAGGGUCUAAUCUAAUGAAAUGAUGCUGUGGGAUUGGCAAACUUUCCUUUUCUUGACGUCUUUUAAUAUCUUCUGUGCAAGGGCUGGAUGAUGCAUGCAUUAAUUAUUCUUCCGGAAUUACAGGUGGAACGUUAAUAUCUUCUGUGCAAACUGCAGAGCAGUGUUUGGAAUGCACGUAAGCCACCAUAUCUGCAAGAAAUUAUUCAUUCAACUCACAAGUACAAUGUGAUAAGAAGAUGGGAAAUCCCGUGAUGACUUUAGUUCAGUUCCCAGGUGAAAUCAUUUCUUCUUCUUCUUGUUUUUGUUUUUUUUUUUGGGGGGGGGGGGGGGGCGCUAAAAAUGAAGGGGUUUAUAACUAAGUCUGGAUAUGAUCAAGAAACAUAUAUAUAUGUUUCAUGUUUGAGAGAGAGAGAGGAGAAAAUGAAUGAUGCUUUGUAUAUAUUUAUGCUUUGUUCCAGCAAAAUUUUGAUCAUCAGGCAAGUAUUUGAGCAACAGUAGUAGAAUGGCCUUGAUGGCUGACGUCUCCAGGACCUAGCUAGAAAAUUCUUAUUCUCAAAUUGAAACUUCAAAUGGUCAUUUCUAUUAAGAAACCAACCUUUUGGAGAAAACACAAAGAAAUUCCAAGUAUACCUGAAAUCAUUUUGCUACAAUUUCGCACCCUGGUAUCAAUUUUUUUUCGUUUUUUGGCUUCUGAAUCACUUAACUGUUGAAUAUUCUUCGAUCUUGAAUAAUAAGCUUCAAUUGUUCAAUAAAGGUAAAGAACCUCGUCCAACACUUGCUGCAUACUGAAAAAUUUUGCUGAGGGAAAUGCAAGAUGUGGUAUAAAAGGAUGGAUUGUCCCAAGCACACAUGGUCAUUAUCGUUUGUCGAGAUCAUCUUCUUCACUAAACCAAGAAGGUAAUGGCACAGAUGGAUCAACUAAGUCCAAGAUUUCAAUACUUGGUACCAUCUGAGGCUCAAGAGAAUCAAGAAUUGCAAGAAGAUCAGCCACACGAGGUCCUUAAAAGCUGUCUGAAAUCAGGUCCAAUUGCCCGAAACCCAGGCUUGGCAACUGCCAGCAUGCAACUUUUCCAGUUUUGAUUUCAGUCUCAACUAUAUAUUGAUGCUCAAUCCCAAGCUCAUGAAACACUACUAGUACUUUGAAUCCAUGUAUGCAUUACAAUUUUACAUUAAUUAUUUUAGUUCUACCGACCUUUCAAUCCAGACUUCAUUCACUUAAUAAUACUCAAUGCUUCGAAUUCUUUGUCGUGUCACGCAUUGUCCAGAGCUAAGCCAAGAAUCCAUGCGAUUCCGUUUCUAUAGGUUCGUAUCAGAAGCAAACAAAUUUUUGGAGACUUCAACGAUCGCAGCAGACAAGAGAGGAUAAAAUUUUACACCACACAUUGUAGCUGGUGACUUGCCAAUUUGAUCACGCUGUACGGCUUGGGAGAUUCCACAAUCUACUGUCUCUAAUGCGCAACACGAUACCAUGCAUCUAAGGUGGCUCGUGUAAAAUGUCUUUAACACAAAACACUUGAAUUGUAACUCUAAUGUUUUCUCGAAUUAAUUAUACUUUUCUAAAAAAACUAACACUUAAAACCACUUUUAUCAUCGAGUAUCUAAUGAGCAUCUGUUAGCCAGAACCGUGUGUAUAUAUAUAUAUAUAUAUAUAAAGGCACAAGAAAGAAGGAAAAGAAAACCAUUUCAAGAACUCCAAAGUCUAAGAGAGCUUUAUAAGAUUAGAAGGUUAGUUCAUGGAGCAGAUCAUGUCCGUACCCGGUGUCAAAUGAAGAUAAUCUGAGCGUGCGCAUGCAUCUGGAUAAUGGGGGCUAAAGUCUUAAAGGUGAUUGUAUGAUUUUGUCUGAUUUGACCCUCUUGUUCUUGAUGGAUGGAUUAGGCUUUUGGUGUUGACUGGCCUCACUUUAGAACUAAGCUUCUGGGCCCUUGAGAACACAAGGGGGUUAAAUUCUAAUGCUAUGGCUGUCUGGAUAAUUGCCCUGACCAGUGACUCUGGACAGUCUUCUUAUGUCAAGUCAUGGCCCAUUUUUCCCAAUGGGACAUUUCCAUCUCUAAUCAAUUAAUUUGAAGGGCAAUUUUUUAGGUGCUAAAACACCCUUUUUUUGAACCCAAAAAACCAAAAAAAAAAAAAACAUGUAGAUGCUAGAUUGGAUGGUGUUGAGACUCAAUGUCCCAAAUUAUGUUAAAUUACACAACAGCAUGUAGUUUUAAUUAUUUAAGAGAUUUGGAAUGUUUUACUAGUAGGUUAAUUAACGCCUAAUUUGAUAAAAGAAUCGUUGUAAUAUUGAAUCUUUACGAGUCAUUAAGGUACCAUGCACAAUGAGGGAGGAUUAGGUUGGAUGGUAAGGUGGGAGGAAUCGUGAAUUAGAACAAUUUGUCUAAAUGGCUUCUGGUUCUUGCACCAGUUUAUCUAAUCAAAUUCCCCUGCGAAAGAAGAUACUUCAUCCAAAAAAGAAAAAAAGAAAAGGGAAUUAUGAAGGGAGGUGUACCUCAAUAAUCAUCUAAACAACCAUGGAGCUUUUGAUUCGCAUUUCAACAUGGAAACCAAAAUCAAAAUUAUAAGCCUCACAAUGGUAUGGAUGUUCACUAACCAAUAAUCAUCCUUACUUUCAAACCCAUUGUAUCAUUCUAAUAGUGAUUAAUCAAACAAUAAGAACAAAUAUCAUUAAAUUUGAUACCCGUUAAUGAUUUUCAAACCCAUUUUCCAAACAUCCCCUAAAACCUUUCCUUCAACCAACUCGAAUAAAAAGUUGCUAUCCUGUCAAGAUAACAAAAAUACACUUUUUAUUCAUCUUUGAAUAUAAUGAACCUAUAGUAACACGGCAUCCUUUGCCCUCCUAAGGCAAUGAAGGGAGCAAGAACUGGUCUUACAUGACAUCCUUACAGAUUUUUUUUUUUUUUUUAAUAAUCAGUUGCUGAUUAAGAAAUCAAGUAGACUUGUACUACUAAUAUUUCAGUAACCAAAUUAAGAUACCUUUUCAUUUUCAAUUAUUUAACUUUAUCUUAAUAAUCAAUCCAAUCAGAAUAGUAUGCUGCUGGCAUUAGUAAGAUAAUGGUGAAGUAUUCCUUAUCAACCAAACUUAAUUAUACAAUCUGAUUAUUGCUAAUCAAAAUAGAUAGAAUAGUCCUAUCCACCAAUGCGUAUCCUUUUUUUUUUUUUUUUUUUUUACGAAAUAGUUGAUUUAAUAGUAGUCCAGGUUGCAGAACCACCCCAAUUGAUGAUUUAUUCCCUUUUUUUAUGCUUUUUAUUAUUUGCCUGAUAAUGAGUAAUUAUUGUCAUUAAAAAUAAUUAGUUGUCUAGGCUAAGCUAAUGCUGGCAUUGCCUACUAAAAAGGAACAUAAGUCGGUUAAUAAUGUUCAUCUAGCCAGUGUCGCCAAAUAAACCAACCAGGAUUGGUUUUUUUUUUUUUUUUUUUUCAUCUAGCCAGUGUCGCCAAAUAAUAGAAGUGCCACCAAACCAACCAGGAUUGGUUUUUUUUUUUUUUUUAAUUUUUAAUUUUCUGCUGAUCUCAGGACACAAGAAUAUCAGCAAUUUAAUGGAAGCACAGAAAGAAUUGAGAUAUCCCAAAAAUUUUGAGAAUAAAAUUUGAUGAAGAUAAUAAAACCCUUCACUGGAUAGGUGUUUUUUUUUUUUUUCACUUCAACAAUUUAAUUCAAGAUCAAAAUUGGAGAAAAAUAGGAAAAGCCUUUUACUAGAUUAGUGUAUCUUUUAACUCCAAUAUUUUACUACUCUGAAGUUUAUGAUGGUUAUGUUGUUGUUAUCCCACUUUUCGACAAAUAAAACUAAAAUGUUUUUCGGAAUUUGCAUAAUUAUUUCCACACUUGAAACACUUGUAUAUUUUCUUUAAUGCACAUGAAUAGAACUUUUUUAUUUUCGUCUGAGAUAUGCUGAAAGUUUGGUAUACAAUUGACUACGGAUUUUCAUAGAAUUGCAACCUUUUUCUUUCUUUUUGUUUUUUUGGGUUUUGGAAAAUAGGAGCAGAGUUGGCAUCUUGAUAUUUCAUUCCUCUUAAAUAAAAAAAAAAAUCCACAAGUUCUAUGACGUCACAAUUGACUGCAGCCUGUUGUUCUCUGUCAUUAUUGUUAUUCAUUAAAAUAGGAAGUUUAUUUAGACAAGUAAUCAAUUAGAUAAUGAUAAAACCAACACCAAUUCCCCCUUCCACGCCACCUUUGAUUAUAAAAAUACAAUUAGAGGGUCGUACAUUUGAUUAUUUUCAAUAGUUUGGAAUCUUCUUGGUUCCUUGUAUUGAAUGACAAGAGAUAAAACUAUCACUAAUAAAAGCUUGGUUAGAAAAAAAAAAGGAUGUCCAAGAAUUUAAACUAACAUGCAUCUUUCCCUUUAGUUUAGCAGCCACGUUUGAUAAAACUGAAGUCUGAAAUUUGAAAUUUGAAUUUAUUAAAUUAGUGAAUUCUUAAAUACUAAAUUUAAUACAUUUGAGUGUAUAUUACAUUAAAUGAUAAGUGAAUAACUUAUCACUUAUUUUUUGGAGUGAAUUUUGUCUAGAAAAUUCAGUGCCACUUAAUGAAUUCAAGUGUUCUAAUUUUGGUUAUCAAACGCAUCUGAACCCAUUAAAUUUAAGUGCUGAGUUAAAUUAUCAAACAAGGCCUAACAAUUGUUACAAUUUUAAGCAACUAAAAUUUGUCAAAAAAAUUAGUAAUGAAGAUUCAUGUACAAUGACUAGAUCCUAACCAAGAAGUUAUGCUCAAGUGUUACAAUUUACAAUUGGUUUAUGUCAUUUUUAUUUGUAAAGCUUACGAUUGGUUUAAAGUUCCCUAGGAAAAUCUCUAUACUCUUUUAGAAUAUGCAUUACUUUUUUUUUUGUCAACACAGAAAAUGUUCCAAUUUUUACCAGACUAAUCUCCCUACGCCCGUGCACCCCGUCCUCCAAAGAUAUACGGGACGAUAGGAGAGCCAGAGUCCACCACAGGAUCUGGGACCUAACGAGGUUAUCUCAUAGCCAAUCUGCGGCCGAGGGGCCUUAGAAUAUGCAUUACUUGACUCUCUAUUUCCCUGCUACUUUUCCAUGCACACAUUCAAGAAAUGCAUGCGUAGUUUACAAUUUCUAAAGCCUAGUAUCUGAUCUACUAGGUAUGAAACCAAUGACCGCAGGCAGUAGUCAUUAUUUUACUAUGUGUGAAAUCAAAGACUCGAUGAAAUUGCCAUGUACCAUGCCAUCCCCCUGGAUGGAUGGCUGCGAGAGCAUGCUGAGGUAGACUGAAAACUAUUUUAUUGUGAACAGGAUUGACUUUGGAUAAGGAUCCACAUUAAAUCAUCAAGAUUUCUUCCGAAACUUAGAACAUUCAAAGAUCCAUUCCAACUAGCUAGCUAGGUUACUUGGGUUCAGUAAUUGAUGGCGGGCUAGUUUUUUUUGGAACAUGUCAAGUUAUGGAUUAGGAACUCUAGCAAGGAAGACAAACAGUAGUGGUUCAGUCACAUUCUAUCACUUUUUGUCCAGUAGGAGUAAUAAUCAAGUUGUCACACUAGAAAAAGAAUUUACAAGUGCUGCACUUCUUUACGUUUCCCUUCUUUUUCCUGCCUACUAAUGCUAACUGAAAACUGGCAAAAAAAAACCUAUGGUAUAAAACUUGCAAGGAUAUUAUAGUACUUCAGAAAACCAGAAAGAGCUAAUGAUUGUGAAACUGUUUUUUUUUGGAUGUUACUCCCUACAUUUCUUGCAUGGAUUUAGUUGGACACGAUGGAUGUAUAGCCGUCCUCUUAACAAAAAGAACCAAAAGCUCCCAUUCCAACCAAACCUCUAAAACCAGAUGGUCCAUUUUCACCGUAGACUCCAAAUACCCAAACCAAUAGAUAAAAGCCCCUAACAAUAUAGGCCAGUUGCUGAUGCAUUUUUCGUCUGGUACAAAUUUUUAAUGCUCCCCAUGACAUAAUAUCAAACUGGCCAACUUCACCAUAAAUAUUUAUCCAUGAGAUCAGCUCCAAAUUUAUAAGUAGGGGCCCUUAGCCAAAAAAUCUAAAAUACACUUGACUGUGUCGCAUUAUUGCGUGAAUUGCUCCCACGUCCUAUAUUAAAUUAGACCUGUGCCAAUCUGUCAAUGUGACUAUUCCCAUAUUAAAACCCAAACCUCUCAAAAUUCCACUACCUUCCCCACUUGAUACCGCACCGCACCUACUCUUCCCUUCCGGCAACACCACUUUUUCCUCUCCCAUUUGGCCCAUUUUCGUGUUUGUACGUGUAUAAACAGAUGUCAUAUUUGUACCCUUUUCCGUGUAGAUUCCGCUGCUAGAAUCUCCAGCCUGCAGAAGCCAGAAAGCCUGUAGUAACUGUAUCCUGUCGUAACUAUUUUGUCCUGUAGCAUAGUUUUUACUACUUAGGGAUGGUUCAGAAGAAUCCAUUAGAUCAUGAUCAGCAAGAGGAUUCCACAAGCACCCCAGAGAAUGUUGCUGAUGACUCUGCCUUCUCUGGUGACGAAGCAUAUGAAGUUACAGCACCAUCACCUAAAAAAAGGUUCCCUUUUUUUUUUUUUCUCGAAUGUUUCACAUGUUUACAGUUUUUCUUGGGAUUCUUCUCCGGAGGUGGAGGGGUGGGUUUUUUUUUUUUUUUUUUUUGCAAGAAAGACCGUUUCCAUGAAGGAUUUUAGAGCGAGCGUUGAUGCUGUAUUUUUUGCUGGAAUGAUAGGAAGGGCGCCCAGAAGAAGGUAAUAACAGUGCCAAUUGGAGAAGGGGAUGGAUCAAGAAGUAAAGGAGAGGUAUACCCACCCCCUGAUUCUUGGUCCUGGAGGAAGUAUGGGCAGAAGCCAAUUAAAGGGUCACCAUAUCCCAGGUAUAGAAUCCUCUCCUUUUAUACUGUAUACUACCCUUGAUUUUUGCACUUUGCUUGAGCAAAUCAAGAAAGCUAUAUGGUAGACAAAUGCCUUGAGAUUCUGCUUGUUUGUUCAUGGGGAUGCUGCAGCUAGCAAUGGUAGCACAUAAUACAUACAUUAAAUUUGGAAUUAGACUUGAGAUGCUUUGAUUAUAGGUGUUAUAAAACAAUAUCCAUUGAAUAAAACUAGGCAAAAUUGAUCGAAUUUUAGUAUGGAGUUUUGGAUAAUCUUGUAGCUGCCGGCCGGGCAUUUGUUGGAGUUGGAACGAAAUAAUCUUCUUGUCUAGUCUUCUAGUCUAGUAUCAAUGCUGGAAAAGAUAUACAAAGGCGGCUCGGAGUUGUGGACUAAAAUAUGUGCAUUAAUUAAUGGACGUAGUGGUUGGAGUUGCCUUUACAUCUCUUUGGUUUUCCACUCUCUUCAAGAAAUGUGUGGCUAACACGCCCUUAAGAGUUAAGAGCUAGCAAGCAAAUUCUGAUGAGAAUUUGCAAUUUGGAUUUGGAAGCAUUAGAGAGGGGGGCCUACUUUUGAUUAGUGGGAGCCCACUCCAAACAUUUAAUUUCGCUUCUCUUGAUUUGUCUUUUCUUUGAUGUUUUCCAUUUUUUUCCUUUCUGGUUUUCUGGUUCCUGAAAAGUUAUCCUGUCCAAGAAGAUGAAAAGAUUCAUUAUUAUUGCAUCAUGUCAUCAAAGAUGACAGUUUCAAGUGCUAUCUAUCAAACAUAGAUGAAGCCAAGAAGUGUUCCAAAAUCAGAACUUAUUUACUCCAUUAGUGUGUGUGUAUAUAUAUAUAUAUAUAUAUAUACACCACAUGAUUUUGGGACUGUCAAAAAAAAUCAGCUCUAAUUGCAUCUUUAUAUAAUGGUAGGUAAGGAUUUGUCUUCGCACACGAUCAAUUUGGCAAAAAUAGUUGUGUUUGGAUUGUAUUUUCCAUGAUUUUUCAUGAAAAAAUUACUGUAGCGAUUUGGAUGUAUGUUAGUGAAAAAGGUAAUAGGGAGAUGUGAUCACAGAAAACAACGUAAUUUUCUGACGAAAAGUUGCAAUCCAAACAAAGUCUAGUGAAUGGCCAUCUUUUCUGCACUUUCUUUUUUUGUUGCCCUAAUGCAAAAGGGUCCCAACCUUUAGAUAACGUUUAUCUUUUGGAGAUGUCAUUUAGUAUAAAAUUUGAAGUGUGCAUGUUUUGUAGUAGUAUGGACAACGUUACUUGAAUCUCCGUUUUGGUGAUUUUUUUUUAUCUUUUUAUGUAUAUAUAUUUUGUCAUCAUAAUAUUUGAUGCAGAAAGAAAAAGUUGAGCUAAUAUUUUGCAUGUGUUGCAUGCCAGGGGAUAUUAUCGGUGCAGUAGCUCUAAAGGCUGUCCCGCAAGAAAACAAGUAGAGAGGAGCUGCCUCGACCCCACCAAGCUCCUCGUCACCUACUCUUGCGAGCACAACCACCCCAUCCCCACCACCACUUCUGCCGUUGCUGCCGCCGCCACGCCGAGUGCAACCACGACCUCCACCUCCACCUCCACGUCAUCCGCCGCCACCGACAGCGCUCCCGUGAAAUCUGCCGCGGAGGACGAAUAUGGGGUCUUCGCCAACCGGCCGGGAUUGGAAUCCGACGACAACAGCGGCAGCAGCUUCAACGAGCUCGCCGGAGAAUUGGGUUGGUUCUCCAAUGUGGGGUCCACCAUGAUGGACAGCCCCAGCUUAGUGGGCCCCGCAUGGGUGGAUGCUGACGUGGCACUCAUGCUGCCCAUUGGGGAGGAGGACCAGCUGUUGUUUGGCGAUCUUGGGGAGCUCCCGGAAUGUUCGGUGGUUUUCCGGCGGCGGGGACUGGAGGGGACUACGUGCUGCGCGGGUUCAGGAUAAGAAGGGUGUACAUUUUUUUCUCGUUGACUGAUCCAACGGCGAAUAACGCUGUUGACUAUUGAGUAUACAAAUAAUUGUAGGUGCACGUGUUGCGGCGUUGAUUGCGAAUUCCACCCCACAAGCCAACGGCUAACUUGCCGCUUCCCAUUUCAUGCUCCAAUCGCAAAUUUUUAUUUUCGUUUAAAAAAAAUUAUCAAAAAAAAGGAAAGAAAAAGACAAAAGGGAAAAAUGGGAAAUGGGAGUUUGUUUUACACCUUCAUUGCAAUUAAUUUUGCCAAGUGGGCUCUCUACAUUUAUUUAUUUAUUUUUUUUUGGGUACAUUAUAUCUCUACGGGAGGAUGAGAAUCUAAAGGGACGAAGGUAUGGUCGAAUCCUAGUUACCUUAAGAUUAUGGGAAUUUUGAGGUGAAGAAGAUGUUCUUUUGGAUCUGUUGGACGAAAUUCAGUCAUGAUCAAUGACAAAAUGUCAACCACCAAUGGUGCUACUGUCAUUUUUUUUUAGUGUAUCAUAUUUAGUAAUCGAUCGUGAAGAUGAUACAUUUUUUUUUUAUCUUUUUCUGAUCUAAAAAUGUGCGUAUUUUGAUUGUGCAAUUUCAGAGAAGUAUAAAGAUAAGGAAUGAGUGAUUUCUUUUACUACUCUUCUUGGAUGGAUGAUUUCAUCCUCCCUGGCUACUUUUGGAGUUUUUGUUGGAUCAAGAGAUUAUUGGACUCUGGCUAUGACACUCUAUCAAGACUCAAAAGGGGCAGCAGAAUAAGUUACAUUUCAUGAUUUUUUUUUUUUAUCACUAAUACUUACCUCAAUGAUUUCAAUUAAUGAACACAGGUUGGUUGGUUGGUUCCCCCCUUUUGUUCCUCAAGCCCAACUGCUGGUGCCUUGCGGAUUUGGGGCAGGGACGGUCAUCAGUAUGACCGUCCCUGCACGGUUAAAAUUUUGUGCGGCUGAAAAUUGGCCCUCAAAAUUUUGUGCGGCUGAAAUAACACCAUGUAACUCGAAAUUCGCGCCAAGUGUGGAGCCCACUACUAUCUGUUGUGAAAAUACAUCCUGUGAAAAAAAAGUUACGCGCAGUUGAACCAAUGUUACGCGCAGUUGAAAUGAGCUAAAAUUGGCAGGGACGGUUGCAGGUGCAACCGUCCCUGCCCCGAGUCCGUGCCUUGCUGCCACAAAUAUCUACCUAUAACACUUGAAAGUCUUGAUGGCCAACAAUAUUUUGCUUGUCAGAUUCUGAGUACAAUUAUUUGAUGAGUCAUAAUGAGCUGGGAUCAAUAAUUGUUCAAAUAUAUAAAUCAUAUAAAACCUGAUUCCCACAUAAUAUUCCAAUUAUCGACCAUGAUCCACAUGCCAGAGAGAGUUACCUCUCUCUGUGGGCAGUCACUUGCCAGGCUAAACAGCUUUACAUACAAACCUAGUGGAGCUAGAGGCCAAAUAUCCAGGAUUAUGGCAGUCAUGGAAAUGUCAUAAUCCAGAACAUUAACCCACAGUUGAGAGGCAAUCGAAAGUAAGGAAGGCGUUUAAAAAAAAAAAAAGCCAUCAAUAUGCAAUUUUCACUAGACAACCAUCCAGAGUUGAGGUUUCCAAAGCAAUAUUUCAGAAAAUACUGAAGCAGGCUCUUCUCCAUAUUCUAGAAGGAAAGGACUAACCAAGUAACUAUACCCAUUCCUGAUCCUACCAAGUAAGAAUUUCAUGAAAAUACUGCUUAAGCAUUUCCAUGUAACUGUCAUCUUAUAUGAUCCCAGACAAAGAGGACAAUCAAAUGAACAAUAUUGCUGGUUGAACGAUGUAAUGUACAAGACUUGUGCAGCAAGAGCCAUUGUCGUUGAAGGUUUCCACGCAAGCUCUAGCCUGAACAGCAUCCAAAUCUCUUCCAAGAAGAUCCCUCAUCUUUGAUAUCGAUUGUCUCGCCUUUAGCAGGAACAGAUGAAGUAGCACCUUCAUCACUGGCCUCGACUGCCUUCCUACUCACAAUGUGGUAUAUUUGUGUCAGGACUUCAGCAAAUGCAUUUUCCACAUUCGUUGCUUCCAGUGCAGAUGUCUCCAUGAAAAAGAGGCUCUCCCUCUCUGCUAAAGCUUUACCAUCCUCAGUUGAAACUGCUACAAGAUGCCGAAGAUCGGAUUUGUUGCCAAUGAGCAUAACUACAACAUUAGGGUCAGUAUGAUCUCUCAAUUCCCUCAGCCACCUCUCAACAUUCUCAAAGGUAGAACGUCUAGUGACAUCAUACACAAGUAAAGCACCAACAGCUCCUCUGUAGUAGGCACUGGUAAUGGCACGGUACCUGCAGCGGGCAAAGGAAGCAUAUGAAUGCAGAAGUUAAAUGCUUUACAAUUUAUAUGUAUGCAAUUCCAACUACUUGUCAUAAUUCAGAAAUGAAUUACAGCUCAAGUACUUGAUUCCAGCUGUAGUGCAUGUGAGCUAAAUACUCCUUUAACUUCGGCAUUAAAAAAAGUUCACAAAAAUUAGAUUUAAACAUGAAAGUUUGCAAGAAAUAAGAACAAACAGAAAAAGUGAUUAGAGGAUGCUAUAAAGAAAUGCUAAUAUGAUUAAAAUUUUCUUGGUGGAGAUAUGGUCUAAACAAGAGUGCAGAGAAAGUAUGCAUGCUAAAAAAAUUACACACAACAUGCAUGUAAUAUCUGUAAGGCAAAAGUCCAGGAGGCAAAAGUCCAGGAGCAAGGCACUUGAGACAACCCGUUGGAAUGGAAACAUACAAAGACCAACCUGUGACCUUCAAGCUCAUAAAAUCACAAAAAAACAACAUUAGGCUUCUAUCAAGGUGGUCCAUGAAGGGUAAUGCAGGCAAAGAAACAGUUCAAGAAAAUAAGGAAACUCAACGUGUUUUCUCAAGCAGAUGAACACAACUUUAAAUGUGACUAAACAUUCUCGUCCAUAAGUUUUAAGCUCCUUAUCUAGAGAGCACUACACACUUUAAUAAACUGGAAAAGAAUGAAACUCGAUCUCAUCAUGGACCAGAUGUCAGGAUAAGAUUUAUAUUCCAUGGCCUAGGAAGCAUAUGAUGCUGCCACUGAGAAGUUGCACUCUGAGGCAUAUAACCCAAACAAGAUUCACUACUCCAACAUUCACAAUAAACUACUCUAGUUUAGAUCUGGUGCAGAUUUUAAACAAGUACAUGAUAACUCAAAACCUAACAAUCAUUAAAUUACAGGAAAAAGGUAUAAGCAAAUAAAUCAGCGCCCAAGGACAUGCACACCAAUGGUAAGACUACAUAUAUCUCAAUGUUUGCUCCUUUCAGCACCCUCAUAUUUCUCCACAAUUUGUUCACAGAGAGCAAAUUCAAUUAAGCUUUUAGGCUAGCAUAUCGAAUGAAAAUGAGCUCCUUGGGGGAAAAAAUUGCAGCAUUCUAAAAUGUUUUACUUCAGAUAAGGGACUCCUCUUUAGCAUUUUCGAGCAAUUAAUUACAUAACUUUACCAAUCACAGUGUUGUAAUAGUUGCUUUCACAUUAGAAUGUUAAAGCACCUCAAACAAUACCUCAUGUGACGCCAAAGAUUUGGAAAUAGACAACGCCGGUUACAUGAGACCUGAGUUAUGUCCUUGUCAAACAAAAUCAGGUAUAUGAGAUAGCCAUAACUUUCCUGUCUUGUUCACUAAAUAUUUAUUCCUAACCAGACAAAUAUAUAACCAGAUACAAUGCUUCCUCCUUAUAUAUCCAGUCACAAUCACUCUUAGCUUCCUCCUUAUCAGAACCCCAGUAUGCUUAACUUUCUACAAACUUGACUACCUCAUGCUUCCUCCUUCACUAGCACCCAGGUACAAAAAUUUCAGGAUUGAGUGCAGAUGAUUUUGACUCCAAAAAAAAUUGGAGUCAAUGUUUAGCCAGUAUCACAAUUACACCAGUUCAAGUAAUGAUAAAAUUGUUAUUUGGGUAUGAUAUCCCAAGCUAUUGCCGAAUGAGAACCAAUUAACAUUAACAUACAUGAUGAAAUAAAACAAUAAAUUGGAGCCCAAAACACAUAAUGAAGGAUGCUAAGCAUAACUGCUCAGUGAAACACCCAUUCAUUGAGGAUUAGACAUCUGAUUCUAUCAUAAGAAUUCAGCCAAGUACCAAUGAAUUAACAAAAAUGUAACAAGAUGCCAAUUGAAAGAUUACACUAUUCUCUUUCCAAAUGUACACAUAUGGCCUAAUUACAUUAUCCCCUUCCAACUUUAGUCCAAGACAUCUAACCCCUUCAACUGACAAAAAAGUGGUCCAAGUGAAGAAUUCAUCAUCUAGAGAUUACGCAGACCAUUGAGAGGAAUUGAUUUACCUCUCGAAAAUAUUGUUUUUCACUUUAACCCAUUUGACAGGUAACAUCAAUAAUUACAUGAACAAAACAAACAACCCGCAAAAGUAUUCAAAAUACUUUCAAUUGAACAGUUUGCAGAAUUCUACACAUAUUACAAUUGUAAUGACACCUUGUUGAUGCAUUUCAUAUCCAUCUAGAUUAUCAAAUUCAUCAUCUAAGUCAUUUUCCAGCCACGUAAACUACAUGUAUGUUUUUACCUCUAGAAUUCCAAUGUAACAGAUCAAAACGCAACACAACCAGCAUAUAUGGACACAUUUAUACAACCCAUGACAUAGGAGGAUCACUGCAACUUCUCCCAAGGAUUUUGUUGUCCAAUGGCAACAAAUGUUCUUCGAUUAGUAGCAUCAAGUAUAAACACACUGCUAGGAUUAUGAGUCUAGGUAAAACUAGAAUCAUAAAGCAAGGUACCAAAGAAGGAGAAUUACAACGACAAGCAGUAUCUCUUAUGAUGUGGAUUUUGGAGAAUAAAAAGAACAGAAUUUCCCAGGCUUAAUAUAGACCGUAGUGAUCUGAACCUGCCUACCAAUAAGGAAAAGCUUGAAGAAUAGUUGUUCACACAACUUAACUCUUCCCAGAAGUACAGUUAAAUUAACACGUGGCAUGAAGUUUGGCAUAUCACAAAUCUAAGCUCUUUGUCCCAUGCUCAAGUUAAAAGUGUGUAGAAACCUAGGCCUGUUUUGAAGCAAGAAAUAAGUGCAUGGCUAAGAAUCAUCUCAAGUUAAAUUAUUGAAAACUCUCUAUCUUCUAACACUAAAAUGGACACACAUCACAGUACAUCCUGUUGCUACGUUUAACAUGCAGAGAAUUACUCUUUAAAGGAUAAUCACAAUGGACAAUAGGCAUGACUUUUUUAAAAUCAUAACUUUUUCUUUAGGAGCCAUAUGGUAGGUAAUCUAAAGGUCAUAUGGUAUGUAACCUAGGGACCAUAUGAUAGGUAAUCAUAAAACAAUUAACCAUAAAAGGGAUUGAUGAUCAAUUUAAAUCACAAACAAGUAGCAUGGACAUCGUACUAUUCACUUCCAAGCAAUGGAUAAUUGGUACCUUGUUUAUAGACUACACAGACCACUAAGAACUUUCCCUCCUUGACAAGCAACGAGUCAUAUUGAUUAAAGCAACAAGUGACAAUCACCAAGUCAAGACAAACCCAUCAAUUUCCAUUUACAAAAUAAUCGAGGAAAUACCAAAAAACAAAAGAAAACUCCUACAAAGAUUUUUUUUUUUUUGGGGGGGGGGGGGGAGGGGGGUGCAUGGAAACCAUAAUAAAGGUUUCUGGAAGACAUUAGCAACAAUCAUUACACAAUUGGCUGCACCAAUCUUCAAUCUUCCAAUACAAAAAUCAAAACACAAAUAUGAAAAUCAUCAAAAAAACCCAUGCAAUCAACUGGCUUACUGUUGCUCAACUUUCCAAUUCAUCAAAAAAAAAAAAAAAAAAAGAAACUGGCUUACUGUUGCUCAACCUUUCAAUUCAUCAAAAAAAAAAAGGGAAAAAGAAAGACAGAAAGAAAGAAAAUCACACAACUCACAGGUAAAUCGAUCAAACACAUCUAAUAGCGCAUUAUUUUUAUGCUCACCAAGGCAUAUCCACAUCUAUACACAUGAAACUACUAAUAGCACGGAAAUAAACCCCCAAGGCAUAAAAAGAUUCAGUUUUGAUAAAACCCCAAUAAAAUAGUAAGAGGGGUUGAAGAUUAGGCAACCUUUCUUGGCCAGCAGUGUCCCAAAUCUGAGCUUUGAUAACCUUGGAGUCUACGUUAAGACUUCUAGUAGCAAACUCCACACCAAUAGUGGACUUAGACUCGAGAUUAAACUCAUUCCUGGUGAAUCUUGAAAGCAGAUUGGAUUUGCCAACCCCUGAAUCACCUAUUAGCACUAGCUUGAACAGGUAAUCAUACUCAUCUUCAGCUCUGUAGCCUGCCAUAUCUGAUGUAUCUGGCUCUCCUUUUCUUUCAGUAGGUGUUGUGUGUGUGAAUUUCUGUUCCACCAGUAUUGGUUAGUAGUGGUGGUGACGGAUGUUGGUUAGGCAGCUGAGUCUUUUUUGAAAAAGGAGGCUCGAAGUGGGAAGGAAAUGCUGUAGACUGUUGUCGGGGGAUUUGCCUAGAUUCCUGCUUCCAGAAUUGAAAGAAAUCAGCCAAUAUUAAUUUACAUCUUUACCCUUUAAUUUUAUAUCCUCAACAUUCAAUGAUUCAACAAAGAGUGAAUCCAUGGGCUCUCUCUCUCUCUCUCUCUGUUAAUGAUGAAUAUGUUUGGAUAACAGAUAUUUGGGAUAAUUUUUUUUCGAAGAAAAUACUGUAUUAAUUGUUUGACAUGAUGUACGUGAAAUAAAAUAAUUAUUAAAAAAUGUAUUAAUGAUGCAAUCAAAUAAAUGAUUAUUUAAACAAAUCCAACAUUUUUUGUGUACACGAUUUCAGAUAUAUGCAUCCUUUAUUUUCUUAAAACUAAUCUUCUAAUAGAAAAUUUCUUAAGAAAAAAGAGAAAUUACUAUUAGAAUUUUUGAGUUUGAUAGAUAUCUUUCUUUCUGUUUUAAUACAAUAUUUUACGACUGAUCCUACAUUAGGAGGAGAGGGGGGGAUAGAGAUGGAUCCAACUAAGAUAUUGUAAAUUCGAAAGGAUUUUUUUUUUAAUACAACAUUUUUACAAUUGAUCCUACAUUAGAGGAAGAAGAGAGGGGAAAAGAAAUAGACCCAACUAAACCAUUGAAAUUUCAAAAAGAACAUUUUUUUUAUUGCAAUAUUUUUACAAUUGAUCGUAUAUUAAGGGAAGAGGGGAGAGGAAUGAAGAUGGAUUCAGUCAAACUAUUGAGAAUUUGAAAAUUCCUGAAUGGAAAAUGUAGGCAAUGAAUUUUGAAUUCGUUACCUAUACCAAGGAAGAACUUUUUAUCUCUCCCUAGUGGCCAACAGAACUAAUUCAGUUCAGUUCGAUAGUUUGAUAGAUAUCACUUCUUAGUUUUUUUUUUUUAAUGUAUUCUUUAAAUUCUUUAAGACUUUUUUCUUCUUUACACUUUUGAAAUAUACUUUUGCAAGUUUAUAAGAAUUCAUAUUCCCAAUUCUGCCAAUUGACUCCUUGCUAAUUCCAUUGACUUAUUAAGUACAUGAAACCAUUGAACUUCAUCGGCGAUCAACGGAAAAGUCAAACGCAAUUUGGAGUAAUUGUGUGUACUAGUAAAAUUACAGGACACAAAAAGCACUGAUAUCAUUCGGGGUUCGGUUCCGUGAUUGUAGCCCAGUUGGGUGAGAGCCACGUCCAGGGAUCGAAUCCCCGGAUAACAUUUGGUCGGUGAUGUUGGGCAGCCUCUCCUGGCCACGCACAAUAAGGAUUAGUUGGGAUGUACUGGAUUACCAGUUCAUGACCCCAAAUACCCUCUGUGAUGACAAAAAAAAAAAAAGCACUAAUAUCAUUACUCUCCACUAAAUACAUUAGGAUCACUCAUUCAAAAAAAAAAAAAAAUUGAAAGAACACUAGGAUCACCUAGGACACCAUGUAUUUCAAGAAAUCUCCUUUUAUGUGUCCCUCAAAAUUGAAAGUAGAGCCUCAUGGAGAGUAACUUGUAUGCAUUUGGGAAAGAAUAAUUACGUAGCAACAAAACUGUAAUAAUGUAGAACAACUCACUCUAUAGUGUGUGUGUGUAGAGAUCUCAUGUUUAUCAGUCUUGUUUUAGCUGUAUAUUUUAGAGAUAUGUGGUGGAUAUUAGUCUCAAACUCUAGCUGGAAACGUUGUUGGCUGGUUUUGCUUUAAUGUAAUAUGAUGCUUUGCUUGUCAUAUUCUGGUUGAUAAAAGGCAAAUGCGUGAUAGCCAGACAAGCCAUGCGUGCCUUUCUCUCUCUGUUUUUUUUUUUGUAGUGCUUAAUUCCUGGGUAAGCAGUUGCUGGUAUCGAAUUGCGUAGACACCAUUUUAAGAUGAGUCGAAAGUCGAAACAGGUUGAUGCAGCUAAGCGGAGCCCAGUUGUUAAAUGCAAGUCAUUGAUGAGGUUAAAGUCCAUUAAUUCUCCGUGGACAAACUGGUGCAAUAUGCCCAAAACAAGCACCACUUUCACUGGCCCAAUUUGAUUGCAUUAUUAGCUGCAGCAUGCAUGCAGUGCCCAGCUGUAGUUGUCUGUCUCACUUAAUAUAUUUCAAAUGGGGUGUUGUCGACUCGAGUCGCACCGAGCUCGACUUGAUUCUCCCGUGAAGACACCCAAAUUCGAGUCCAUGUCCGUUCAAGAUAUACAGUUUAUGCUCGAGCUCGAUUCGAUAGGGCUCGAAUAGGUUGACUCGAAAGUUCGAUCUCUUACUUAGAAUUCACAGGCCCAAAAUUUUCAAAAUUCACAGCCAUGAUUUCACAACCGGCAGAUUCAUUGCAUUUCAAAUGAGAAGAGCCGCACAACAGACAGGAACCCUCUGAAUCUGAUGGGGCUAUCAAGAUCUUUGGUCAAAGAUUACUACUACUACUACUAGUACUAAAUUUUCUCUUGGCGCUGAUCCUGCAAGUCCGGAAACCUGUCUUUGAAAAUGCGCCACGUGUCAAGGUGAGAUGGACAGCCAGCUGGCAAAGUUAAAUCAAAACACGCAUCCCAAGGGGUGGUUUCAAAAAACUUUCCAAGCUGUCGUCCGUACGCUCACAGGCCGAGGGUUGACCCAACAAACAAACGCCGAGUCCACUUAAAUCAAAUGCCAAACGUGUCAUAUUGCCCAGCCCAAACGUGCAGCGCACGUGGUCAUUCACCGCGUGCUCCCCACAGCUGGCGCUUUGGUCCGGACUUCUAAGUUCUAAGUCGGCUGGCUAAACCUUAUCCUCCUCCUUUUUGGAGCUGUGAUAUAUCCACCCGGAUUUCAUCCAACCAGCUCUUAAUCUAAACUUAAUAAUAUCUUUUUGCAUAUAAUAGGGACGUCCUUUUUUUUUUGGCUUUUGGAGCAGCCAUCCAUCAUUUUCAAGAUUGAUGGCUGAGUAAUUGAAUACUCUAAUCUCUUCUACCCUACACAACAAGAAAAUCUCCUAGCUGAUUAAUAUAUUGUAUGAUGAGACGAACGAGGGGAUAAUAAAUGAUAUUAAAGUUGAAAAAAUAAUUUAUUAAGUAACUUUAUAACGAUUCUUUAAUUUUUGACACGUAAACAUGUCGUAUUACAAUAGAGUGAAGUUUAACUCUUAAAAUUAAUGAUACAUAUAAUAAUUAUGGAAAAUAUUGAAUGAACUAUUUAAUAGUAAUGCAAGUAUUAGAUUUUCAUCAUAAAAUAAAAUCCGUUAUGACUGCAAACAAAAUAGUAAUGGGAAUGACAAAAAUUCAUGCCCAUGGUAAGUUUUAGAGUGUAUUUGGACCAUUUGAAAAAAAAAAAUAAUUUAUCUGUAUUAUAAAUGCAUUUUUCGUUCACUUUUUUUAAUCAUCUUUAUCAAAAUAUUUCAAUUAUGAACUUUAUUCCAGAGUGCACAUUUACAGUAAAACAGCAUUCACAACGUGAAAAUCAGUAUUCAGAAUGCACAUUUAUUGGCUUGUGACAUUAGUUGAGUGCUGUCGUGUGAUACCAGAGAUUCUUUUAUUUCUUUGCACGUUUUGUUCCAAAAAAGAAAAAAAAUUCAAUAUGAAAUAAAUUAUUUUACUCUGAAAUAUUCUUCAUUUUCCAGGGCCACUUUGCACUCUUUCUGGAGAUCACUUAUAUUAUAUAUAUAUAUAUACACAUUUCAUGCAAAGUCCAUAAUUAUUUUCUAUAGUUCUUUGAAAUAGACCCAAAUUUGACCCCAAUACACCUCCAAAGAUCAAAGCUUUCUCCCCGAAAAGAUUCAAAAGAUUCACCUGAUUUAAUAACAGAGGUCAGUUUCGCUUCUCAAUUUCAGGAUGUCUUUCAUCCUUUUUCAAUUUGAGUUUUGCAAAUUUAGGGCUUUUGAUAAUUGGUUUUUCUCUUGUUCACGUUUUUCUCAGUUGGGCUUUGCUUAGAUCACUAAUUUAUUCAAUUACAGUAAACGGGUUUCUCUUUAAUUGGCUUGAUGUCUUGCUUUCUUCAUUUUCUACUGCAUUUGUUGAAUUUUUAGUUGUAAUUUAGUGUAGAUUGUUUCUGAAUUGAUUCUUUUAUGUGAAAAAGGUGUUCUUGGGCUCGUGCAGAUAAUUGAAAACUAUCAAUUUGAGGGGAAAAGAAGAAUUUUGAGUUGUGGGGUUUAGGUUGGCGACUUUUGUUCUGAAUUUUUUGGGGAGAUAAUACAGAACCUUGGAAAAAUGUUGUCAAGAUCGUAUACUAAUCUCUUAGAUUUGGCAUCCGGGAAUAUUCCGGUAAUGGGUAGAGAGAAGGAAAGGAGAAGGUUUCCUAGGGUCAUGACCGUGCCCGGAAGUAUAUGUGAGCUAGAUGAUGACCAGGCGCAUAGUGUUGCGUCGGAUAAUCCGUCUUCAAUAGCUGGUGAUAGGAUGAUAGUUGUGUCAAAUCAGUUGCCAUUGAAAGCUAAGCGAAGACCUGAUAAUAAAGGAUGGAGCUUUACUUGGAAUGAGGAUUCAUUGCUUCUGAGGCUUAAAGAUGGUUUGCCAGAAGAUAUGGAAGUGCAAUACGUUGGGUCACUGUGCGUUGAUGUUGAUCCAAUUGAACAAGAUGAUGUUGCCAAUUAUCUUUUGGAAAAAUUUAAAUGCGUGCCGACUUUUCUUCCGCCGAAUAUUGUGGAGAAGUAUUACAACGGUUUCUGCAAGAAGCAGUUGUGGCCGCUCUUUCACUACAUGCUGCCAUUUUCUGCUGAUAAUGGAGGGCGGUUUGAUCGUUCCAUGUGGGAAGCAUACGUGUCGGCCAACAAGAUAUUUUCGCAGAGAGUGAUUGAGGUGCUAAAUCCUGAGGAUGACUUUGUUUGGAUUCAUGAUUAUCAUUUAAUGGUGUUGCCCACUUUCUUGAGGAGGCGCUUUACUCGAUUGAGGAUGGGGUUCUUCCUCCACAGUCCAUUUCCUUCAUCAGAGAUAUACAGGACACUUCCUGUUAGAGAAGAGAUUCUUAAGGCUUUACUUAAUUGCGAUCUUAUUGGUUUUCAUACUUUUGACUAUGCCCGGCACUUCCUCUCUUGUUGUAGUCGCAUGAUGGGCUUGGAGUAUUUAUCAAAAAGGGGUUAUAUAGGGUUGGAUUACUUUGGUAGGACCGUUGGUAUUAAAAUCAUGCCCGUUGGAAUACAUAUGGGCCAUGUUGAAUCAGUGAUGAAACUUGCUGAUAAGGAGAUGAGGUAUGAAGAGCUGAAGAAGCAAUUUGAAGGGAAAACCGUGUUGCUUGGGGUCGAUGAUAUGGAUAUCUUCAAAGGCAUCAAUUUGAAAAUCCUAGCUAUGGAGAAUAUGCUCAAGCAACAUUCGAAAUGGCAAGGAAGGGCAGUGCUGCUUCAGAUUUUAAAUCCUGUUAGAGGAAGAGGGUUGGACUUGGAGCAAAUACAGGCUGAAAUACAGGAAAGCUGCAACAGGAUCAAUGAGAAAUUUGGAAAGCCUGGAUAUCAACCUGUUGUUCUAAUUGACAGGCCUGUGCCCAUCUCAGAGAGAAUGGCUUAUUACAGGAUUGCUGAGUGUGUUGUGGUAACUGCAGUAAGGGAUGGGAUGAACCUGACCCCAUAUGAAUACAUUGUUUGUAGACAGGGAAUACCUGGUGCAGAAGCAGGCUCAGAUUUGAGUGGAACCAAAAAGAGCAUGCUGGUUGUUUCAGAAUUCAUUGGGUGUUCUCCUUCCCUUAGCGGGGCAAUACGAGUCAACCCAUGGAAUGUUGAAGCAACUUCUGAGGCACUGAAUGAGGCUAUAUCAAUGUCUGACCAAGAGAAAGAACUGCGACAUGAGAAGCAUUAUCGUUAUGUAAGUACGCAUGAUGUGGCAUAUUGGGCAAGAAGCUUCCUGCAAGACUUGGAGAGGACAUGUGCUGAUCAUUUUAGGAAGAGAUCUUAUGGCAUAGGUUUGGGAUUCGGGUUCAGAGUUGUAGCUCUGGAUCCUAACUUUAGAAAGCUUUCAAUUGAUGAUAUUGUGUCAGCUUACACUAAGGCUCAGCAUAGGGCCAUAUUGUUGGACUAUGACGGGACUGUAAUGCCUCAAAAUUCCAUCAUCAAAACUCCAAACCCUGAAGUGCUCUCUAUCUUGAACACACUCUGUGGGGAUCCAAAUAAUGUGGUCUUCAUAGUCAGCGGAAGGGGGAGGGACAGCUUAAGCAGAUGGUUUGAGCCUUGCAAACAGCUGGGACUUGCAGCUGAACAUGGCUACUUCUUAAGGUUUGGUUUCCUAGAACGUGUUUUUCUGGUUUCAAAUUUUCAUUGACAUCUUUUAUGGCUUCAGAUGUUCCAGUGGUGCUGUCUUGUGUCCGGUUUGAUGCCUUGAAAUGGUUUUACACUGAAACUUCACAUAGUUAUCGUCUAUUUUUGCUAAUAAUAUAUAUAGAAGUAUUCUUCUGAUUGACGAUUUGUUGUUCUUUAUACUUGUCCUGGUAAGUAGGUUUACUGUUCACUCUCUUUGGGAAUCCAAUUGGAAGGCACUUAUGAAGUUAAUGAAGAAAUGUGGUCAAAAUUGAUUCUGAGGGGCUUCUGGUUUUAAGCUUUGUGUCUUUAGGGUUUAAUGGGGUUAGGUAAAUAGUUAGCCUACACAUUAAUUCGCAACCUGUACAGCUUCUCUAAUGAUGGGGUCAGUGGUUAACUAAAUACCCAGUAACUACUCAAGUAGUUUAUAGAGGACCUUCAUUUUGCUGGAGUAGUGAAUGUUUUAGCUUCAUUUCUUUUUCUCUCUUGACCAGAUAUUUUGUAAACGUUAAUGCUUAAGUUGGAAUGCAGUUAAGGAUACUUGGUGGUUUCUAGGAGCCCAUUAUCUAGAUAUGGGUGCUAAUGGAGCACUCCGGGUAAGGGUUUCUUGUGGAAAGAAAUUAAUUGGGAUUGGACAAUUUGGUACUGGAAAUGCUAUACACAGAACCAAUAAACAACACAAAAAAAAAAAAAAACAAAAAAGAACCAAUAAAAAAACCACGUUUCCUUUGUUGUUGUUUUGCUCUAUUACUAAUUCUGCAAAUUGGCAGGUGGUCACAACAUAAAGACUGGGAGACCUGUGGUCAGAAUUCUGAAUUUGGAUGGAUGCAAAUUGCUGAACCUGUAAUGAAAUCGUAUACUGAGGCAACAGAUGGUUCUUGCAUUGAGAAGAAAGAAAGUGCUUUGGUCUGGCAGUAUGGGGAUGCAGACCCAGACUUUGGGUAUUCUCAGGCAAAGGAGAUGUUGGAUCAUCUUGAGAGCGUUUUAGCAAAUGAGCCUGUUUCUGUAAAGAGUGGCCAGCAUAUCGUAGAAGUCAAGCCACAGGCAUGUAGUUUGCUUCUUGAUUUGCAUGUUAACUAUUUUAUUCUACUUUUAGUUCUUAUGUUUUGUCUACCUGUUUGAUUGUCUUCUGCAAGCAGACUGGCCUGAUUUUUAUUGUAGCUCAGCAGAAUUAUGAAUGAUAAUAAAUGAUGUUGAAGUCCUCAUGAAUUUAUAAAUGACAGUGAAGUCCCCAGCACUUAUAGUGUUGGCAUUAUAAGAGUUACUAAUAAUUUUAUAACUUUGCUUAUGCAGUCCCAUUCUUCAUGUACUAUAUGAAUCUAUAAAUGAAAAUGAAAUCCGCAGCCCUAUACACUCAUCAAGAUCUGUUUAACCAUUUGUAGUCACCCUUAGUGGGUUGUCUUUGUAUUGUGAGGUCAUUUAUUUUCUUGUUGUGUUGUUUCCCAGUAUGAUUACUUGGUUGCUGCACUUUCAUUUGGUUCUCUUUCCUUGUAACCUUCUUGGAAUGUUAAUCUCGUUGAGCAUAGAGUGCGGAAGGAAUUGGUGGAUACUAGCUUCAUAAUUUACCUGAUAGGUUGGGAAUCAUGUAGAUGCGGAGUAUGAUUUUCCUUUGAGUGCAGCUACAUCAUUUAGCAAUCUGGAGUUGAUUAUGUUUACUCGAUCAUUUUGCAAUGGAUUGUUUAUAUUAUUUUAUUGUAUUAAAUAGGGUUCCUUUUGCUUUCAUUUCUUCUGUGUCCAUUGCUUUUCAUUAACAUAUGCAUUGUGAUUCUAAUCUGAUAAUGGUUGGGAUAUGUUACACCUAAUUAGACUACUGGUUAUCUAAAACAACUGAUUGAUUUUGCCUCAUAGUUUGAGAAGUAAAUGUCUAAUAAACAAUUCAGCCAACUUGGUUACUGUGGGUCUCCAGCAGUAUAGUGCAACACUUACACAUUUGGCUUUGAAUUUUGAACAUCAUAAUUGGGAGUGUCUAAUCCUUGUGUUCUUUCAGGGGGUCAGCAAAGGCUCAGUUGCAGAAAGAAUAUUUACAUCCAUGGUGGAGAAAGGGAAACAGGCUGAUUUUGUGCUUUGCAUUGGUGAUGACAGAUCUGAUGAGGAUAUGUUUGAAAUUAUAGGCGCUGCAAUAUCAAGAAAUAUUCUUUCUUACAAAGCUGAAGUAUUUGCCUGCACAGUUGGACAAAAACCGAGUAAAGCGAAAUACUACUUGGAUGACCCAUCUGAGGUGAUAAACAUGCUUGACUCUCUUGCUGAUGCCACUCAUACUCCAGUUACCUCUGAAGAUGAAACAGAAGAUUCUUCCUGAAACAAAUCAUCAGGUUUCUUAUUGAUUUCUUCUACACAUGGAGUUCCUGAUUUGGUGGUGCAUGUAUGCUUAGAAGGGCAUUAGGUUUUAGAUUUAGGAAAUCAAGUCUAGUAGUCUUCCCUUUCUGCUUUGCGUUUAUUUACCUCUUGUCUCUAUUUCUUCAGUGCCUUCCAAGAUAGAUACCAAUCCAGUGAGGAGAAGGCAAAGUUUUGUUUGGUGCAGAAUUCUUUUUGGGGUGAAUCUAUUAGAAGUAGUUGGGAUCUUGGGAUGAAUUUAAUGACAGGAAGGUGUGAUUUUGUGAGGUUAGAUUUUAGUGCGAAACUGUGGACAGGAUUUUAAGCGUGUUCUUGGUGGUAAAUGACAAUAAUUGUGCAUUACUGAAUCUGGUAAUCAGAGAGAUUGAGGCUGUCGUAACUAACAUGGAUGAAGUUUGGCGCUAUUCCUCUUAAUUAAUGGAAGCAACAUAAUUUUGAAUUUCUGAAUAUUCCUUGGCAUCUUGUUGAGAAUAUAACAUGUUGUCUGCUUGAACUUCACAUGCCGUAGAUGAAAAGGAUCCUUUGGCACUUGUGAUACCAUUUGGGAGUUGAGGCUUGUUGCCCUCGUUGUAGACCUGAGAUUGUUUAUGGCCUCCAAAGGAGCAAAUUACCUAUGCAUGAAGGGUGACCUACUGAAUGAAGUCUGUCAAGGUCUGAAGCCAGAAAAUCAGUAUUAAAAUGUUAGAUCAAGGGAAUUUGUAUUUCUGCAUUUGUCCUGCUUGACUGGAGAAGAAGGCCGCAAUGUUCUUUUGGAUGGCAAUAUUUGUACUAAUGAAAGCAAUGUGGAUGCAAGAAUUAGAAUAAUCAUGACAAUAAUUCUGUUUGGCAGACAUAGUUCACCCUGGAUCUUAACUGUAGCAUUGGCUUGUCACCCUUUUGAAUUCUUUUCGAAAUAAACAUUGGUAUAUUGUUUAUACAUGUACAUAUUCUGGCAUGCUGUUGUCCUCUUGAAGUUGAACAUCCCAGUUCCAUAAAUCGGAUUGUUUGUUUUGUCAUAUCUAGUUAUUUAUGUUGGUCUUUCAGUUCCAUUGUUGUAUGAUCAAAAGGUUGUUUACUUAAAUUCUUUUUAGUGUACCGGAUUACAGGAGGAGUUUUGUACUUCGCUUAACAUAAAUGCUGUUUGCCCAGGGGAAAAAUGUUUGAUAUGCCGUGUAUUUUGCUGAACAUCGAAUACUGUACCACGCCUUUUCAUCUUUCUGUGCACCAGCAUUUUGCCUGUCAGAAGAUUCACACCACCUACUUUGGGACCCAAAGAAGGAAGAUAAUACACCUUGGCGGCCAACAUUUUGUCAUUGUUCAAGACUAGAGAUCUUCUUGUUUUUAAUCUGGUGAAAUGAGGACACUGUUGUGUUCGCUCUCCGACUUUGAAGUUUAAACAAUUUGCUGUCAAAGAGUUUAUCCUCGGAGUUUAAUACUAUCACUGAGAUAACAUUCUGCAUCUCGAUUAUGCAUGUGUGUGAUACGCAGUGAUUGUAAAGUCAGUCAUUACCCAAAAACAUCAUCAAUGUUCACAACAUGAUCUGCCAACGCAUGUAUGAAGUUGAAGCUGAUGUUUUAACUCCACUUCCAUUGCUCCUUCCAAGACAUUCACUACUGUGGACAUGCAAGGCCUUCUUGUAUGAUCAUCUUGCAGGCACCGAGCUGCGAUUCUUAUCAUCCUCUCCACUUCCUCUGCAUUAUUCUUCAUGUCCUGGUCAAAAUUUCUCACAAUGUCAAGUAACUUGUUUUCUUUAGACUUCCACUGCAAGAGAUUCAACGGAUGCGAGCAAGAUUCUGAGUGAUUAUCAACAUUUCUCCUUCCACUAAUUAUUUCAAGGAGGCCAAUCCCAAAACUGUAGAUAUCAACUUUUUCUGUCGUGAAUCGCCGUUCUGGAGCAAUGUAUCCUGGAUUUCCUUUGAUGGUUGUGACAACUUGGCUCUUGUCUCUGUCUAUGAGCUUAGACAGCCCGAAAUCAGAGACUUUGCCGUUGAAGUUUUCAUCCAGCAGGAGCUUUUGUGGUUUUACAUCAAGGUGGACGACUUUCUGGGAACAUUCUUCAUGUAAAUAAGCUAAUCCUUUUGCUACAUCAAUUGCUAUCCUCUUGCGGAUCUGCCAAUUCAGCUAACGCUCUGGAUCUCUGCUGAAAAUCCAUUUGUCCAGUGAUCCAUUAGGCACAUAUCCAUAUACCCGAAGCUGGUGAGAUUUGUCCUUGCAAUAUCCUAUCAAUUUCACGAGAUUGAAAUGAUGGAUGCUUCCAAUUGUUUUGACUUCAGCCAAGAAUCCCUUCAUAUCCAGACUUGGUUUCUCCAAAUGCUUAACAGCAACGGAGGUUCCAUCCUGUAACCUUCCCUUAAACACACUCCCAAAUCCUCCACCACCUAGCUUCUCCUCAAAAUUGCUUGGUGCCACACGGAGUUCCUCGUACGAAAACCUCAUAGGCAACCCUGGCAUUUGUAUGCUACUAUCUUUCUCUCCUUCUGGCUGUCUUGGAGGUUUUAUACUGUCUUCUACUUUUUCUUCCUUUCUUGAGAUCAACAUGUAGAUUGUGCCAAGCAAACAAUGAAAGUACAUGCACUUACAACUAUAACAGGAAUUCCCCUAAAGAUCACUGCAACAACAAAGGUGCCAACAAGAAAUGAAGAACACCAAUAUCAACGGGAGGCAAUACAAGUAACCUUUUUGCUGAAAGUGCUGAGGGCAGAAUUGAUGCUGGCAUGUUAUAACUUGUGGCACAGGGAGAGGAAGCAGGACUGGAAUUUUUACUAUUUUGCCUGACAAAAAUCUGAGAAUUUGUCUUCCCUUGAAAGAGGGAAUUAUACGUUCUUGCUAAGAAUGCAUAGCUGAAUAGUGAUUGUUUAUCAUACUAUAAAGCUUCCAACUAUCUGCCAUUUGGACUCAAAGUGAAUCGAGGUCAUCCUUGACUCUUUGUGUCUCUCUUACGUAUGCCCUUGUGUUGAUGACCAAGCAACUCUUCAAACAUCGACUAGUAAGUAAAGAUUUCUUCUUCCUUGUGGACCAGAUUGCAUGUCUUAACUGUAACCAAAAGUUUACAUCUUGAAGGACAAAUAAUUUGCAAUUUUCCAGUCAAUGCCGGUUCACACUAGAAAUUGGAAAUUUUCAGAAAUUUCGUUGUCAGUGGCAAGAGGCAACCAAUAGAUUACCUAGAGAGAGAGUAAACAUGAACUUGGAGAAGUCAUGCCUUUCGUUGUUAGUGAAACCAUGAAAUAGCAAAGUGCUCAGGAUAUUCAUCCGUCUUCUUUAGCCUUUCGUCGGAUUCGUUCAGGGAGGGAAGACCUUUUUUUUUUUUUUCAUUUUUUUGUGGGUUUAAGAAAAAGCUGUUCAUUCAGGGGACCCAUUUGACAUGAGGGGAGAUUGAUGAGAGGCUUUGUCACUCAUAUCUCAAUCAUUUACCUGCACAAGGAAAAAUAUGAACUGAAGUCUUCCACAUUGAUCAAAGUUGAUUCACAGAAUUUUCCACAAAAAUGAAUGAAUUAAGAUUGUUGACUUUUUUAUUGUAGGAAUAUUGCUACAUUCAGAGAAGAAAAAAGGCUUCAUGGUAACUAAAACCCACAAAACUUUCGAUUUUUCUAAUGUAAGUUGUAAUAAUAUGGUUACUGUCCGAGAAGAAAAAUGAUGAUGAUGGAAGUAACCGCUAACUAGUAAGAAUGAAAAAAGGUUACACCUGUUCCCCUCACCAAUAAUCUCCACAAGAACAAUAUCCAUUUUUGAAAUGAUGAAACCUACUAUUAUCUCGCACAAUAAUUUCCCGGUUUUUGACCUUCGAUAUGUACUUGAUAGCAACAUGACAAUCGCUGCAUACACGCAAAUUCUUCAUCACUCUGAUCGGAAAACCCUUUGGAGUGUUCAUCAGAGCAAAAGCAAUUGCCAGCUUCUCACUGUGGUGCACUAGGUUGUACUCCUUUUCCUCCACAUCCAUGUCAUGCAACACUGAGCCAAUAUCAGGCACAUAACCUUCUAUUCUUAUUUCUUCCAUCAGUUCAUUCAAGUAAUUCUCAAUCUCCUGUGCCAGCGGAUGAGAUUUAUCACCCAUAAUGAACUGAUAAAUCUGGUUCUUUAUCUCCAACCAGCUUAUGCCUGGCUCCUUCUUCACAUUUUGAUCUCUCAUUGCUUUUCGCAACUCUGAAACAUCCUUCCAUCUUCUGGUAGAGGCCUGAAUAUUUGCAAGGAGAACAUAGGCGGAAGAAUCUCGAGGAUCAAUUUUCAAAACUUCUUCACCUAUCCUUUUAGCCAUAUCUGAAUCUUUAUGAAUCUUACAGGCUGAUAACAAAGUCUUCCAUAUAACAGCAUCUGCCUUGAUUGGCAUUGAUCUAAUAUAGCCUUCUGCCUCGUCUAAACAGCCUGAUCUACCAAGUAGAUCCACAACACAUGUAUAAUGCUCUAAUUGAGGCUCCAGUCCAUACUUUUCCACCAUCACCUUGAAUAACUCAAGUCCCUUUUCUUUCAUUCCGCAAUGACUACAAGCAUAUAGUAAACUCAAGAAAGUGACAUCAUUCGGCUCCAAACCUUCGUGCUCCAUCCUAUCAAACAAUUCCACAGCUUCCUUUCCUCUUCCGUGAAAUCCAUAAGCAGCAAUUAUAGAACUCCACAAAACAAGAUCAGCUCCCUCUCUUUCCUCAAAAACCUUCACAGCAUCAUCCAAACAACCACUUCGUGAGUACAUGCUAACUAAUGAACUAAUAACAGGAACGACAGAAAGGGCGCCAACCUUGAUGACAUCAGCAUGAAUCUGCUGGCCCUGCCCAAGUGUGGCCAGCUCAGAACAUGAACUGAUCACGCUCACAAAUGUGAUCUUAUCCGGCCUAAACCCAGACAUUCUCAUUAUGUUGUAAAUAUCCAAGGCACCCUCUGAACACCCAUUUUGGGACCUCCCUGCAAUAAGUGUAUUGAGAACAGCCACACUAUGCAUCGGCAUCAAUCUAAUAACUUUCUCCCCUUCCUUUAAGCUCCCUGAUCUCAUAUACAUAUGACCUAACGAACUUCCAACAAUCAAAUUCAUCUCGAAACCUGACUUAACCACAUAUCCAUGAACUUGCUUUCCCUUAUUCAAGUCCUUCAACCCAGCACACCCUCUCAAAACACUCCCAAGAGUGAAUACAUCAGGUAAAAAUCCCAACUUGUGCAUUCUGGAAAACAAACUCAACCCAUCUUCGUUAAACUCGAACUGGACCGUACCAACGAUCAUCGCAUUCCAAGUGGCUAAAUUCCUAUCACCCAUUUCAUCAAACAGCUUAAACGCACUAUCCAAAUCACCAUGCUGAAUGAACCCUCCAAUUAAAAUGUUAAACGACAUAGUAUUUCUGUUGGGCAUUUUUUCGAACAGUGAGACUGCGGCGUCCAAACGGCCUAAUUUGGAGUACGCAUUGAGGAGAUGGUUGACUACAAACUUUUCCUUGAAGCAGCCAGCUGUCAAGAUGAGAGAAUGGAGUUGCUUGGCAAGGGAGAAAGAUUGGGUUUGGAUGCAUGCUUUUAGGAGGUCAGAAAAGAGAGGUGGAUAUGACCAUAUCAAAGAAGUGAAGUUGGUGAAGGCUUCGUCAAUAUGGCCUCUUGAGCAGAGGUUUUUGAACUCUGCUGUUAAUGAUUUUGUGCUGAAAGAAUGGGAGGUAAAAUUAUGGAGGGGAAGGCGAAUUGUUGAAGUCAAAAGGCCCAUGCAUUUGUGUUGGUUCAUAGGAUUGUCCAACACCCAAGCAGACUGGCUGCAUGAGGCAGCGUCACUGGAUGCAAGUUUUUCUCCCUUGUUAGUACAAGCAACUGGUUCCCAAAGCAAAUGAGCAAAUUACUUUUGGAUCCAAUACCUAAUUGUUUGUGGCAGGUUACUUUCGUGUACAUGCAAGACAACUCCUAAACAUUAUUAAACUAUUGGAUCAAAUUAUGUUUAUACUUUACUGUUAAUGCAGAGUAAUCUUUUAAACGUUACUUUUAAAAAAUUUGCGUUAAUUUUAACAUCGAGGUAUCAAUUAAGAAAGUGCCAGCAAAUUUACAUCCAACACUUUUGAGUCUAGAAUAAUUUUAACAAGAUACAAUUGGAUUGAAGCUUUAACAUAAUUCAACUAGAAUGAAGUUUUCAACUUAUGUAACUUGUAGUUAUAGACUCUGAGAUUUUCAAGAACCACAUGCCUGAUGAUGAGUUAAUAUUUGGACAUUAAAUGCAUCAUUUUCAGAGAAGCAGGUCAAAGAACAUGCAUGCUUUCACUUUCCUUUUAGAAGAGGUAUUGACCAUAAUUCAUGCUUCACAAGGGUAUGAUAUAUAUGUUGCUUAACCAUUUGCCAUCAGCACAUUGAUGUUAGGCCAAUACCCACAAGGAGAAGAUGAAACUACUAUCUUGAUGGUGACAUACAAUGGAAGGUGAAUCUGAAUUCUGCACAUUCUACUUACAAUUAAUAGCAAAUUACACGUACAUUAUGCAAAAUUUGGGAAUAUUGUACACUCAAUGAACUGAAGAUGUAUAAUCAAGCUUAACUACUAUGUACUACUUGGUGCAAUUAUACAGCUACUGGUGUUGGUACAGCAGGAGGAACCCUGUUCUCAGCUGGAAUUUCGACAAACUCAGAGAGGAUUGCUCGGAAUUCAUCUCCAGUCAACGUCUCUUUCUCAAGGAGGACUUCAACAAUUUUAUCAAUUGCUUCGCGGUUAUUCCUAAUGUGGAUUAAAGCAACCUCAUACGCAGUAUCUGAAAUUCUCUUGACAGCAGCAUCAAUGUCUUCAGCAAGCUUCUCGGACAUUGAAUUCCUAGCCAUCAUUCGCAUAAUGACGUCGCCACUUUGAGCUGAUGAGUCCAUCAAAGACCACGGGCCAAUAUCUGACAUGCCAAAGGUGACCACCAUCUGCAAAAAAGAUUGAACACCUAAUUUAUUUCCACAGAAGUAGAAAUGUUCAAUGUACAAAUAAUGUAUGUAAAACUACAAAGGAACGUGGCCAAUUGAUUGUUCUAAGAUCAUUCUGAAGUACUUAAAAGUAUUCUAGGAGAAAUCCUUCCAACAGGCGGUUUGAGCUGCCUAAUCCAGUUCUUUGGAAGUUUAGGUAGAGGACUUUGACCAUUCUCUGUGCUUUUCAAUCCCUCAAAACUAAAAGAUUAUAGAAAUUGGCUACAGAACUUGCAGCAUUGUGACUGAUUUGAAAGGAUUCAAAAUGAUUGUUGAAUUCCUCAAAGAAGUCUAGCCACCAUAGAAUGAUAAGUAAAGAAAAAUGUUUGAAAAGAGGAAAGACUGAUACACCUGUUUGGCCAAACCAGUAAUCUGAUACAAAUCACCAGCAGCACCUGUUGUCACCUCAGGCUCGCCAAAGAUCACUUCCUCAGCAGCUCUUCCACCAAGCCCCCCAACAAUUCUAGCAAAGAGUUGCUGCUUGGAGAUCAAGGUUGGGUCAUCUGCAGGAAUAAACCAGG